rnacentral:lncRNA from 1 species
UACACAUUGUGUUUUGCUGCAGCGUGAGUUCUAUCUUGAAGGUGGUGCUAUGGUUUUGGCUGAUGGAGGCGUUGUGUGUAUUGAUGAAUUUGACAAGAUGAGACCGGAAGAUAGGUAAUUCAAAUCAGAAUCAUAGGGUAAAGAGAAUCUAAUUCUUCUUGAUGACUAGAAUUUGACAGAAGGUUUUUCAUGCAUAUAGAGUUGCUAUUCAUGAAGCAAUGGAGCAGCAGACCAUCUCCAUUGCAAAAGCUGGAAUAACAACUGUCCUAAACUCUAGAACCUCGGUUCUUGCAGCUGCUAACCCUCCCUCUGGUCGAUAUGAUGAUCUUAAGGUUUGACAUUCUUUGUCAGUACAAUUGUUUGACCUAAUCUUGUUUGCAGUAUUCUUAGUAGGGGUUUUUGUUUUUUUUGGGUUUGCAGACUGCACAGGACAACAUUGAUUUGCAGACGACAAUUCUUUCUAGAUUUGAUCUUAUCUUCAUUGUCAAGGACAUCAGGAAGUAUUCCCAAGACAAGGUAAGCCGGAGUCUAAUCAAAUGAAUGUUGCUUACUAAACAAUGAAACAGAGAUUACAGUAAUUUGUUUGAUUGCUUGGGUUGACAUAGGACUAAUGUUGGAAUGAUCUCUUGACAGGAAAUAGCCAGCCAUAUUAUAAGGGUUCAUGCAUCUGCAGACAAAGUUACAGAUGAAAACACAGAUUCUAAGGAAGAUAAUUGGCUCAAGAGGUGUGUUGCGUUCAUCAUGUCUUUUGAAGUUUCUUAUACAAAAGUUGUGUCUCUAAAAUGUAAAUGAUCUUGUCACUGUAGGUAUAUACAAUACUGCCGAUCAAGAUGUCAUCCCCGUCUCACAGAAGCCGCAGCUAUGAAGCUGCAGCAGCAAUAUGUCAAGAUCAGAGAGGAUAUGAAGAGACGUGCACAUGAAACAGGAGAGGCAGCCCCAAUACCUAUCACAGUCAGACAACUCGAAGCUAUUGUCAGACUGAGUGAGUCGCUUGCAAAAAUGAGACUGUAAGUAAAUCUUCUUGUUAGCAUAAAGAUUCCUGAAACCUGCUGGGCGUGUAUUGACAUUGCUAUAUCGGCCAGGUCACACGAUGCCACAGAAGAUGAUGUAGGCAAAGCUUUUAAGCUUUUCGAUACCUCAACAAUGGAUGCAGCAAGGUCAGGGAUAAAUCAACAGAUUAACAUAACGAGCGAGAUGGCCAACGAGAUAAAGGUUAGUGUGAAGAAAUAAUCAUAUAUAGCUUUUAUAAUGUUGAUGGAGAUGUAUUUUGACUAAUUGAGUUGAUGUGAAAACAGCAAGCGGAAACACAGAUUAAGAGAAGAAUGGGGAUUGGAGCAAGGUUAUCAGAGAGAAGACUUAUCGAGGAUUUAGCUAGAAUGGGAAUGAACGAUUCAAUGGUAAGUACCUAAUUAUACAAAAUCAAUUGUAGUUGUUUAUUCCUCAUCACCAAUUAGUGAUGUGGAUUUUGACUUUGUGUGUGAAUGUUAAAAAUGGCAGGUGAGGAGGGCUCUGUUGAUAAUGCAUCAGAGAGGUGAAGUUGAGUACCAGCGAGAGAGACGUUCCAUUGUUCGCAAAGCUUGAUCUUCUUCUUCGCUCACUAUCUCUCUUCUUUAGUCUCUCAGGAUCUUCAAAAAGACAAUAUUCAGUAUUGUUAAGUUAAUUUGGAGGAACAGAAACUUACGUCAUGUGUAUUUGAUGAAGAUCCUUUAGUAAACUUUUAUGCCCUCUUGAAACUAAUAUUUUCUCCUCCAAUGUUAUCUUGUGUUGCAAUUUCUUGACCAAAUGUUAAGAAAGCUUUACGAGUUAGUUAGCUGAUAGGUAAACAAAACACCAUCAUCGACAACAAUCACUGGUUAAACCACGUCUAACGUAAGCUGGAUUCAAUUAAAAAGCCAUCUUGUAUUUGUAUAGACGAUGUUCUUAUCAACAUUAAUAACCAGUGUUUAUAUAAUAACGGAAGUGUAAAACUCACAACAAUCUCUGCUAUCCUGCAAAGGAUUCUUAAUUCUUCUCGAGCAGCCAAACUCUUAGAGGCAAUCUAGGACAAGUAAAUCCAUUUGCUGACACUAUCAUCUUCAGUUGUGUCUGCAAACUCAUGACAACUAUAUCUGAGACCAACUCCAUUAUAUACUACAAAGUACAAAAUCAAUUUGCAUAUUCAAUUGUUUUAUGUCUUAGAGAAAACUCAAGACUGGUUUUGUUAGAGCUUGUCAACUUCACAAACAUUUGCGCGAGCCAGAUGACCACUGAGAUAACAGUUUUAUAGUCGUUUAUCUUUUAUCUUUCUGGUUGGAAUUUGAAGAAAGAAUCAUAUCCUUAAUAUAAAAAAAGAUUAUAACAAAAGCAUAACAACAAUAGAAUCAUGUUUUAUUACAUAACUCUCGAUGUGUAGAAACGCCAUGACAAGUAGCCAAUUUAUAGAUGGCAAUCACCCAUAAUUAGUCAAUUUAUAUGAUGAGUUAUGUAACCAAUUUAUAAUUUAUAUGAUGAGCCUGCACUGCACCGGUCCUGAUUUUUUGUUGACGGGAAGCAAAAAAAAAAGAGAGAAGUUGUUAUCAAUGAUUGAACUAAGAAAUUGAUGUUACCGGUGAUAAGUAAAUCACUACACUAUAGACAUUUUACUGAGGCCGAAAUUUGUUAAUAAUAUUGAAGGCUGGAGGCCAGUGCUUCCAGCCUUCCCCUCAGGACCGCCAUUGUCUGGAACAUCAUGACAAAUAGUAAAUUUAUCUUCUGAUUUCUGGAAGUUUAUUUUUAUGAAAACUUUUGUCUAUGUCUCUUUUUAUCUUUAAGAUUUGGAUGGUUUUUUGGACAUUAUAUAUUCAUACUGUAAACAUACUCUGUGCUUUUCAUUUCUGUUGAACAAGGAUUUUAUUUUCUAGCACCAUCAACCUCAAUUUAUUAUUAUGAAAAAGAACAUAACAAAAGCAUAACAAAAAACAAGAAAUAGAAAAAAAAAAAGAACAGAAUAAUAAUUUAUUACAUAACUCUCGAUGCGUCUCCUUUACUUUAUUCUCUCACUCGUCCAUCCUGUCACCAGCUUCUUUUUUUAUCCUUAAGCUAAGAAUAAUUUCACUAUUGAUAUCAUUUCUUAACCAAGAGAAAUGAAAUCAAAACCGAAGAAUAUUCCAAGUAGGAACUUCCUUCUUUAUCUUUAAUCUUUAUAAAGCCAUUUUCUCUAACUUUAUUGAUCAAAUCAUACGUCUUGUGCUUAAAAUAUCAUUGUAGUUUGGCUUAGACGGUGUAGUGCUGGUUAAGAUUGUCAAUGUCAAGGCCCUUAAGCUUUACGACAGACUCCACGUGGCCUUUGAGAGUGUGCACUUCUCUUAGCCUGCAUUGCAUGCACACCACAACUCUCACCAAUCUUGUAAUAGAAAAAUGUCUAGUGAUUGAAUCUUUGGAAGUAAUCAGUUACAUACCUUGCGACUUCAGCACGCUUUUUAGCCUGUUCAGCGAUCUCAGAGAGCUCGGUGAAGGUUGCCUUGUCUUCAAACAUUGACUCCGGGGGUUUAAGUCCAUGGAGUGUACGUUGAGCUAGAGCCCACUGGGCCUCUCUUUCUCCUCUUCCGUAGUCUUUCUUGGUUGUGAAUGCAGUCUUUGAUUAUUAUAAAAAGGGAAAGAAUGUCAGUAUAUUAUGUAGUUCAAAAAAUUAAAGAUUAAAACUGCUAAUAACAUUACCCUAUUCUCAAUCAUGUUAUUCCAAGCUUUGCCAGUAAGGAUGUAGCGGGUGAUGAACUUGAGGACGUCAAGAGGAAUGUAUGUGAUGAUACUGUAAAUCCAGAUGACUCCACACCAUCCCCAUCCGCACCCUUUGAUUCUCGCAAAUUCCCAAUGUGCGUAAGCAGCAAUUAAUGUUGCAGCCUGUUGUUAUUUGGGAAAAGAUUAUAAGAGUAAUUAAUUUAUAUGCCAUAAUUAAUGUGUAUGUACUAUAUGGAACCAAACCACAUACCAGUUGGGCAAUAAGGAAUGCAAUAAGAAGAAGAAAUCCAGGGCGUUCCACAAAGGACCAGCUCCUUGAUCGUGUCACAAAGAUUAGUGCUUGACUAAUUAUACUGACUUGCAAAUACAAAACUGCUAUCAACUCCUCUGGUUGGCCUUUUAGUGAUCUUACUCCAAACUUUUGCUACACUCACCAAACACCACCAAAACAAUUAAUUAGAACGGUGGACAUUUUUGCUAUUUUUUAUUAAAUUGAAUUAUUAUUACCGGGAAGAAGUCAGUGUCAUGAGCAAGCCAGAAGAAAAGGACGGUAAUGAGAGCCAUGUAUGUUCCAAGAACAACUCCAGUAGCAAAGAUCUCUUUAAGCUUCCACGAAUCAGGAAUCGGGGAAGGCUUGACUCUGUCUUUCGAAAUGGUCAUGAUGGUCCCGUCGUUAAGGAUCGCAAUAAUGAGAACCAUAAAGGGAGAAAAGUCAAACUCCCAAAUGAGAGCCACGAGCAUAAAGCCUAGGACAAUACGAAUGGUGAUGGAAACCGCAUAGAUUGUGUAGUUCUUCAUCCGUUGAAAGAUAGCUCGACUUGUGAGCACCGCACUGAUGAUCACACUAAGACCUGGCUCGGUCAAGACAAUAUCCGAAGCGCUUCUUGCAGCAUCGGUUGCGUCAUCCACUGCUAUACCAAUGUCUGCUUUUUUCAGCGCUGGCGCGUCGUUCACACCGUCACCGGUCAUUCCAACUAUAUGUUUCUUUUCUUGGAGUCUCCUUACAAUCUCGUACUUGUGCUCUAUAAUACAAGUAAUUAUUGAGCCAAAAUAAAUAAAUAAAAAUAAUUUAGAAUAUCUGAUUGGUGAGACGAAAGGUUUCUUAGUUAGUUACCAGGAAACACUCCAGCAAAUCCAUCAGCCUUCUCAAUGAGCUCAUCAACCGGAACUCCACCGGUGGCAUCAUCUUUGUUUUCGAGCAAAGAAGAGGAAGGAUACAUGUUAGUUCCCAUCCCAAGCCUACGACCAGUUUCUUUACCAAUAGCCAACUGAUCUCCAGUGAUCAUCUUAACAUUGACACCAAGAUCAAGCGCACGUCUGAUGGUCUCGGCACUAUCGUGCCUCGGAGGGUCGAAGAGCGGGAGAAGACCAACGAACUCCCAAGGAGUUCCAGCGCUUUCUUUGUCCUUUUCAGGAACCGUUUGGCGUCCAACGCCGAGAGAACGAAGGCCACGCUCGGCGAACUUGUCGAUGAUGUCGUGCGCACGUUUUAGUGCCUCUCCUUUGAGGUCACAGAGAGAAAUGAUUUGCUCGGGGGCGCCUUUGCUGCAUCUAUGCCAGUCUCCACUGCCAUCGAUGUACGUGAUUGCGGUACGUUUUUCGACGGGGUUGAAUGGUAAGAAAUGGACUUCGGUUAUUCCAGCUCUCGCCUCUUUUGGAUCGCCCAACAUGUUGACAAUGCAUGCAUCGAUGGCGUCUUGGUUCUCUACUCUUGAUGCUCUUGCUGAGAGUAGUAUCACUGUAUCUUUGUCCGCGUUUUUACAGAAAACCUACAAAGAUUUUUUUAAUUAAAAAUAAUUUAAAUAAUACACAUAUCAAUUAAUGCGAUGAUGAUAAUUUUUUAAUUAAAUUACCUCAAUCAAGUUCUUGUCAACGGUUAGUUUGUUGAGAGUGAGGGUACCGGUUUUGUCGCUGCAAAGAACGUCCAUGCCAGCCAUUUCUUCAAUGGCGGUCAUACGUUUUGUGAUGGCACCUUGCUGAGACAACCUAUGAGAUCCAAUAGCCAUUGUCACUGACAAGACAGUUGGCAUGGCAAUUGGGAUACCUCCGAUGAGAAGGACAAGAAGAUUGUCGAUUCCAUCUCUGUACUUCCUAUGCUGGAUUGGAUACAUUACUAUUAUCUCAAUCAACAUUCCUAUCGCGAUUGAGCAGAUACAGAAAUUACCAAUCGCGGUUAGGACCUGAAACAUCCAAAGGCCAAUCAGUUUAAAUGUUUGCUUGCAUCGCAAGUAAAAAAUCAGAAGAAUUAGUUUUAAUCAUUGUUAUACCGUUUGGAAAUGGCCAACGUUGUUAGUACUGUCAACAAGGUGAGCAGCCUUGCCAAAGAAGGUAUGCACACCGGUGGCGAUGACAACGGCCUCGAUCUCACCCUGUUUACAAGUGGAGCCAGAGAAGACCUCGUCUCCCGGAUAUUUAGUGGCGGGUAGAGAUUCACCGGUGAGUGCAGACUGGUCGAUUUUUAAAGGAUCACCUUCGAGGAGACGAGAAUCCGCUGGAACAAUAUCACCCAGCUUAAUGCUGAUUAAGUCACCUGGCACCAGCAUUGCAGCUUCUUGCUCUCCCCAUUUACCAUCUCUCAAUACCUUUGCUUUAGGUGCAAGAUUGGCCAUGAGAGCAGCCGCGGCAUUACCUGCGUUGUUCUCCUCAAUGAAACUGAUUGUUGAAUUUAUAAUAAGCAGACACAUGAUCCCAACGAAGUCUUGCCAAUCCGGGGGUCUUCCGUCACCGUUUGCCAACACGAUGGCCAUGAUUGCUGCUGCCUCCAUCACCCAUGAAAGUGGAUUCCACAUAAACCCUAAGAACUUUAGGAACUUGUUUUCCACUUUCUCUUCCAGUUUGUUGGCCCCAAAGAUCUGGAGUCUGUUUCUUCCUUCCUCUGAUGACAGACCUUCCCUUGAGCAUUUUAGCUGUUGGAACACUUCGUCCACCGGAAUCUUCUCCUGUAAUUAGAUAAAUAAAAUCCAUGUUAUAAGUUUGAAUAUUUGAUAUUCUGAAUAUGUUAGGAAUAAAAUAAAAUAAAAUACUAACAAGAUCAACGUUCUCCUUCUUUAUUUCUUCCCAUGAAAUAUCAGCAGCCAUGGUGAAUCAACCCAAGAGAACAAACAAAAACAAUGAAAAUGUAACUUUUUCCCUUUCAAGCUGUUUUGAAGCCAGAAAAGAGAGGUUUUCUUUAAGGUUGUGAUGUUCUGUGGAGGCACAGAAGUGGUUUUUAUAUACACACACACUUACAUAGGUGGCUUUGUAUGGUUUAAUGGUUUGUGGCACACCUUAUUUUCCGGUAUUUUGACAAUGUAUGUGUCCAAUUCUGAACUGUUUUCAUGCCUUUUCUUAUGCAUCCCUUUGUUUUGUUCUGUUUCUUAACUAAAAAGAAAACGAAAAAAAUCGAUUCAGUUGCCUCUCCAUAAAUAGUAAACGGACAGAAAUUAGGUUCACUCCAAACUUUAAAUUCACCCCACGGAUACAUGGAUUAUUAAUUAAAAAAUAUUAAACUAAAUAAAAAAUAGCUACAAAAACCUUCGAGGAGACGAGAAUCCGCUGGAACAAUAUCACCCAGCUUAAUGCUGAUUAAGUCACCUGGCACCAGCAUUGCAGCUUCUUGCUCUCCCCAUUUACCAUCUCUCAAUACCUUUGCUUUAGGUGCAAGAUUGGCCAUGAGAGCAGCCGCGGCAUUACCUGCGUUGUUCUCCUCAAUGAAACUGAUUGUUGAAUUUAUAAUAAGCAGACACAUGAUCCCAACGAAGUCUUGCCAAUCCGGGGGUCUUCCGUCACCGUUUGCCAACACGAUGGCCAUGAUUGCUGCUGCCUCCAUCACCCAUGAAAGUGGAUUCCACAUAAACCCUAAGAACUUUAGGAACUUGUUUUCCACUUUCUCUUCCAGUUUGUUGGCCCCAAAGAUCUGGAGUCUGUUUCUUCCUUCCUCUGAUGACAGACCUUCCCUUGAGCAUUUUAGCUGUUGGAACACUUCGUCCACCGGAAUCUUCUCCUGUAAUUAGAUAAAUAAAAUCCAUGUUAUAAGUUUGAAUAUUUGAUAUUCUGAAUAUGUUAGGAAUAAAAUAAAAUAAAAUACUAACAAGAUCAACGUUCUCCUUCUUUAUUUCUUCCCAUGAAAUAUCAGCAGCCAUGGUGAAUCAACCCAAGAGAACAAACAAAAACAAUGAAAAUGUAACUUUUUCCCUUUCAAGCUGUUUUGAAGCCAGAAAAGAGAGGUUUUCUUUAAGUUUGUGAUGUUUUGUGGAGGCACAGAAGUGGUGUUUAUAUACACACACACUUACAUAGGUGGCUUUGUAUGGUUUAAUGGUUUGUGGCAGACCUUAUUUUCAGGUAUUUUGACAAUGUAUGUGUCCAAUUUUGAACUGUUUUCAUGCCUUUUCUUAUGCAUCGCUUUGUUUUGUUCUGUGUUUCUUAACUAAAAAGAAAACGAAAAAAGUCGAUUCAGUUGCCUCUCCAUAAAUAGUAAAUUUACAGUACUCCAGUAACAAACUAAAACAUUUACUUUCUCAAAACUGUUUAAAUUAGACUUUAAAAUAUUAUCAUAUAAUACAAGUGGCAAAUGAAAAAAUCAAAUCCGAGUUUAAUUCACUUGGAACAGAAAAAACUUACAUUUUAUAGUUCAGUUUAUUUACAUGUUUUAAUUAUAUGUUAAAAUAAAUAAUUAAUACCUUUUUAAUAAAUGUUAAAUUAAACUAAAAAUAUGUAUGUCAAGUAGAAAUCUAAUCACCAAAGUCUUUUAAAUAUGUAUAGUCUGUCGAAUCUUCAAAUAUUUAGAUUCAUUUAUGUUUAUGUAGAGAAUUUUUGAAAUUAUUUUUAUAAGCGAAAUUGAGUAAAUAUAGAAUACAGAAAAAGAAUUAACCAUUUUUUGUGGAGAUUACUAUCAAAAUCACUAGCCACUGGGAGCAACCUCAAAAGAAGACAUGUUACUCAAGAUGAUCUAUGUAAACGAUGUUGUUCUGCUCCUGAGACAGAGGUACACUUAUUUUUUUACUGCCCUUAUGCUCAACGUAUUAGGCGAGGUUCCGGAAUAUCAAAUACCACAUUACUCAAUGUACAAGCUACAUUAGAAGAGAAGAUUGAUGUCUGUCUCACGUGCAACAUAUCAUCAAGAUGGCCACAGUUCCAAGAUUUUCCUAUAAGUGUUCUUUGGCGAAUCUGGAAAAGUAAGAAUAACCUCAUAUUCCAACAUCGGAAUACACAAUGGUGAAGAGUUCUGGAACAAGCGAAAACAGAGGCACAAGAGUGGCCAAAGGCAAGAUAUACGGUUCCUCUACAACAGAACAAUGGUGAUUAUGGUGAAUAUAAGGGAGCAGGACAUGCGAAAGGAAAUAUGGUUUCAUCACCAUUGGAAGCGGAAUAUAAUGCACUAAUAGUAGCUAUGCAACAAUGUUGGAUAAGAGGCUAUACUAAAGUGAUCUUUGAAGGUGAUAACAAGAAAAUGUUUGAUAAUCUACAAUCAAGGAAAUUGCAGUUUGGUUUGUAUAAUUGGGUUAGAGAAGCAAGAUGGUGGAGCAGACAGUUUCAGGAGGUUAAAUUCAAAUGGAUCAACAGAGCUGGCAAUGAAGUGGCGGACAAGUUAUCCAAGAUGGAUACACUGGAAUUAUUUGAAUUUUACUAUUAUAUUCCUAGAUCAGUUUCACCAUUGUUGCAUACUGACUAUAUAAAUCUUUUGAAUAAUUAAUGCAAUUGAUGUUAAAAAAAAAAGAAUACAGAAAAAGAAAUAGGUUGAGAAAGCCAUAAGAUUGUUUACUAAAUCAAAUGAGAACUAGUUAUUUCGGAUCACAUAACUCAUCCACAGUAAGUAAUCACCUCAUCUCAUUCAUUCAACUCAGCAACUCACCUUAUUGCGAAAUAGGAUAAGUUACAACAAAUCUCAUAUCUUUUUUCUUACAACAAAAUGGAAAGUUUAAACGAAUUUAGCCAGACGCACGCCCAAUUUGGAUUUCUAUGCAAACAACAUAUGAUGCUUGACUCCUUAGCCUCCUUGCUAGGUGUAUACGGUAUAUCCGUAUAUAUAUCUUAGUUGAUUCCAAAACAACAGCAGAAGAUUUACUGAACUAAAAAUUGAUAAAAUUUCACUUGCACAUAUUCAUCUAUUUCAUACUUAAAUAUAUUAUAUUGUUAUAUAAUAAUGAUUUCAAUUAGUGUUUGAUUCAUUAACUAAAUCUGAAUUUUCGGGUCCUGCUAUCUUUUUUCAAUAAACACGAAUUGAGAAUCAAAUUCUGGCCGUGUUUAAAGAGGUGGGCUGCAGGGGUAUUUUCAUCAAAAGACAUUAUUCUUAAAACCGGAAUUUCAGAGAACCGACAAAAAAAACUGGAACCAAGAUUUGAGUAAAGUACACAAAGAUUGGACAACUGAACCACAAGAAAUACGGAAACACACAAGUUUGGAAAAAAGUAAGCACUGAAGCUAACACAGUUCCUCCCCCGAGAGAACAUGAACUACUACUCAUUCUCCUUGUUGCAAUAAUACCUUACUACGGUACUCCCCCAACGCCCAUAUAGGGAAAAUGUUUCGGUAAGCAGCGUACGUUAUCAUGCAGUUCCUAUUGAAGACUCCCAUUAUUUCCUGAGAGAGAGAGGUUACUUAUCAAGCUAACCAACAGAAACUCGUUAAAGACCAAUGUGUUAAUCCAUCUCGUUACCUGUUGUGGGAAAUCACCACUCUCCAUUUGAGCAUUAAUCAAAUAUCUCGCAGCUCGAUGUAGGGGUUUUUGAUCUACCUCCACCUAAGCACACACAAAAAAAGAGAGAUAUAUAAGUGCUAAUGGAAAGGGAUUUAAAAAGAAUAGACUGAAAAUUAACUCACUUGCCCAGCACCAAUGAGUGAUAGCAAAGCCCAUGCUGUAUUCACCACAUGAGACCGGUUGCCGUCAAGGUUUGAAUAUACCUACAUUCGUAAGAAGGGAACGAUUCAUCAAGUAGCAGUAAGUAAAAAAGUCGAAUGAACAUACAAAAGUGAGUACUAACUUUGUCUUGACAUGAAAGAUAGCUUUCUCCCCAUCCGCCCGAAGGAAGUUGUUUCGACAAGAGAAAUUCACAAGCUUUCGCAACAGUUGGAGAGUUUUUCAAUGUCUUUCCAGCAGCUUCAAGCCCUUUCACUCCAAACCAUGUCCCAUACGUGAAGCAAACAGCCCAUGAUCCAUACCUUACAGAUAUAUAUAUAUAUAUAUAUAUCACAGGUUACAACUUACAAACCUACUAGAAGAUACACAAAGAAGGAAUAGUUUUUAUCAUGACUAGUAGAGACAAACCAUGAGCCAUCUGAUUCUUGAAUAGAUUCAAUGAACUUAACAGCCUUCUCAAUGCACUCAUCUACUUCCUUCUUCCGAUGACCAGGAUAUAGCUUUCUGAAUGCUAUCAACGCUUGUAUUGCAGCUGACGUACACUCCACGUAACUACAGAACCAUUCUAGCGAAUCAAGCAAAAUUUCCCAAAGCAUAAAGUAUCAAUUAAAAUGGCAAGAUGCUAGCGCCUUACGGGUAGUCAAUAACAAUAUCGCCAAAGGUUUCUGCUGGAUUGAUUAGCUGCCAACAUAUAUAAGCAAAGCAAAGGGGUAUCAGGUACAUAUGUGUUUCUGAGAGCUUGGCCACAUAGAUACAAGCUUGAGAACAUUACUGAUCUACAUCUGGGUACAUAGACUUUACCUCCAACCAAGGGUAUGACCUUGUCAGCUCAUAUGUCGCAAAACCUCCAUCUGCAUUCUGAAAUUAGAAAUUAGUUGCUAAUCAGACAAAGAAGUUGUUUUGCUUUGCGGAAAGAAAACCUAUGAGUUAUCAAUACGUAUUUGAUACAAGGAUUGUAAACAAAAGUUAACCUGUAACGAAAUGAUAACAUUAACAGCAUCAUAUAACCGUUUCGUAUCUACUGGUUCACCAACAAUCUCCUUAGGAACUUUGGAUAGUAAAAGAGCAGCCUGAAGAGAGAGAAAGAAAAAACAAACUGAUUACCACCAGAAAAGAAACCGUGAAAGGUAACUAAAUCUUUCACAUUUUUUUAUUACUUUAAGUCCCUCUGCGGUGCAAUCGGAGAUAGGCCAACCAUGAUCUGCAGUUGAGAAAGGCCAAGCCCCUUUAGAAAUGUGUCGGUACCAGUAACUCAGAUCUCCAGGGCAGUCCUCUGACACCUAUCCCAUGAGAAGAAACAAGCAUGAGAGGGAAAAUAACAUCACAUAGCAGAUCUUCUGAGAUGCCACCUAUCGCAAACCUGAGAAUUCUUGACAUAUGAAUGUGCUUUUUUCAAAACUGGCCCAUAUUCUUCUACAAAGUUGGUUGCCAGAACAGCUUGAACAGCAAAACUCGUAUCCCAUAGCUGGCUUCCAUUAUAACCCUGUCAAUUGCGGCUGCAUUAGAGUAUGGAUAAAAAAAGCAAGGAAGGGUUUUGGUUGACAGGAAAGAAAGAAACACGGAGAUGCAGAUGCUCUCAAGAGUGUUUCUUUCUUUCUUAUGACUCCAGGAUUAUUACAUUAAACACAUACUAUAGUAAAAUUCCUAAGUUCAGAUAAAUUAGUAUAGUAAUGUGAUUUCUGAUUACUGUUAGAUUUAAAGAUUUAUAUUUGUGAAAAAAAAAAGAUUAUAUUUGUAUACUGUUGCGUUAAUGAUUCAAGCGGCGUGAUAAUGUACUGAUUCGGCAGUCAGUCACCUUCUUCCAUGUGACAAACAUAUCAUAAUCAUGUAUAAAAAAUAUUCGGUACCUGCAUCUUCAUUCCAUCUUCAGCUACCCAAAGAUAGUCAUGGAUUCUUGGUAGGUGCAACUUAAAAGCCUCUGAGUUUGGGUCCUCUACCCAACAACAAAGCAUAUUUAAUACCUGUUAUAAGAGAACAAGGAAAAGAUGAUUAAAGUAGAGGGUUCAAAAACAGAAUAGAGCAUGAGGUUUUUGAAAUAUCCCCAAACUGAGCAUUUUAGAUAAUAACAAUGGACAAUGAAAAAAUGGUACCGAAGAUGUUGUGAAUUUUGGAUUUGCAUACCUUAUUCACGGGUCCUAUGCAGAUGUACCUUGUGUUCUCAUCUUCGUAAUGAAUGUGUUCUAAAGUGGUUCUGAGAGCCUUUUCUCUCAAAUUUGAACCCGGCCAUCGCGUUAAAACAGGCUCAACGAUCUUGUGAAGUGAUGCCCAAAGAAUAUCUUGGACAAGUGGGUGUGGGUAGUAUAAAUCCUCCUUCAAUAUAAAAGCAACUAUGAGUUACUGCAUAUUCUGUAUUCUAUCAAGAAUCAUUAGUUGUGUUAUCCAGCCAGCCAAGGAUCUCAUUAUAAAAUAAAAAUCCUCAGAUUACAAUUCAACAUCAGUUCGACUAACCUUUGCACAAAGGUUGCGUGCUUCAUUCCAGUCGACUUCAUGAUAUGGUACAGUGAAAAGCUCUUUUCUCAGUGAUAAAACAGUGGACGUUAUGGGACCCACGAACCGUUUUCCGUACAAAUACGACAUUGGUAAGUAGACCAUCCGACAAUGGCACCACAUCCUUCCUGGAGCACGAAAAUUAUUAUUAUGCUUUAGCUCUACUGUGCCCUAUAUCUAAAUAAGAACUACAAAACAAGCUGUAUUAAGAAAAAAACAUAUCUAUCUUUAUAAAUGCACACACAGUUCAACCAUUUUAUAACUGUGCGCUUUUAAACAAGCGUGCAAAGCAGAAUAGAUUGCAAUCUAUGAUCAGAUGAAAAAAUGCUUCCCAGAUUUACUUUACUUGAGUUGUCCAUGAUUAAUGGUAUACCAUAUCACAUAAAGUCGCAAUGCUACUAGAGCACAUUUCCAAGCAGGGUAAAUAACUAUAUACAAAGUCCAAUUGUUAAUAGCUGAAACCUAAGGAACCAUAAAGGAGCUAAAACAGAAAUGGGUAUUUUGGUUUUACUGUGCUCCAUAUUAUAAAACAGCCAUUGAAUGAUAAUGCGAGGCACUUAAUUUGUAAACUGGUAAAAGAAAGAAUAUCCAAUUUGGGAGAGUAUAGAGCACCUGGAUGGAUUGGCAGAAUAUACGGAAGAAGCCAUAUCUCAGGUGGCAGUGGGUUAUUUCCAGACCAUUCAAAAGCUCCAAGUACCUUCAAUCACAGAUCCAAGCAAAAAAAGAAUGAAUCAAGUAACAGAAAUACUUAAUAUGAUUUAAACAUAGAAGGAGAGAUAGAGGUCAGUACAGAAAGCCACAUUUUCCCCCAAGAAGUGAUAUUGGUAGCGCCACCAUGAUUGAGUAUCCAGUCACGCCCUUUCUCCAUAGCUCCAUCUCCAUCGUUAGGUCCUUCUCCAAGCAACCUCAGAGUAACAUAGUUCAAGACAGACCCAAACAUGGUGCUCGGACCCUCAAUAUGUAGACCCCAACCUCCGUCCUCAUUCUGAAAACAAUUGAUUUAGAAAAUAUCAGGAAGUUGACAUUUUAAGUGUCUAAAGAACACAAUAGGAAACACAAGUAUAAGGAGAUAGUGUGUGUUUGCCUGGUGAUUAUGGAGAUAGCGGCGCAUUUCAGCUUUAUGUUGUUCUGACAAUACUGUAUUCAGAGCUCCAGUUAUGGAGAGUGUAAUUAUCUGGAAAAGAAUGUAAGCAGUGUUAGUUUUUGGCUUAGAAAGUUGAAAAAAAAAAAAGAAAAAAAAAGGAACAAACCAGUCCUGGUAGAAGAAACAUAGGACCACCAUAAUCUCCUGCCCAGUGCCCGUCACUAGCCUGUAUGGUUGAAUAGAAAUCUACACCCCUCUUUAAAGUGGUUUCCACCAUCUUCUCUGUAACAUCAUCACCGUCUUUGAUAUUCACUUGUGGUAAAACUGGUCUGCUCAAGCUUUCUCUUGAAAACUACAAUACAGAGAGAGAGAUAAUAUAUUCAAUUCGAAAUCAAAUAAAUACUGAUUUGAUUUAACCAUUAGAAAACCGAAGACUACAACACACAAGAGAUUACAAUAAGAGAAGGCCUCCGGGAGCUGCAGCAAUAAGUUAACAAAGAUGUUGAGAACUGAGCUAUAGUUACUCAGGCUCCGAAUGGUGACUGCGGUUUGAGCGGUGCGGGACAAGCGGUUUAACUACAGUGCGGUUCUAACAGUUAUAAAAAUGUAUAAAUAUAUAAUAUAUGUAGAGAUUUUUGUUACGAUGGUCACCAUUCGAAGCCUCAAAAGCACUCAGUUCACACGCUGCUGACAAGUUUGAUUUGAUUCGAUUCGAUUUGAGGCGAAAUGACGUAAAAUCCACUCCAAUAAACUAAUAAAACUACAGAUCAAAUCACCUCGCUCGCUCUCUCUCUCUCUAUAUAUAUCAUUUCACAUUCCUAAGUAACAGUGUACGAUUCAUAUGGCCAGCGAAAGUCAACGAAGGAGUGAAAGAUACCUGGAGGCGCAUAAGCAGAUCAGAGCUGUGUUUCUUCGCGAAUCGGUUCUCUCUAAACGACUUUCUCGCUUCCUCGACGGCGGCGAGCUCUUCGGGCGUCCCGAGGUUCGGAUCGAACUCCCAGAACUGCCUUCCGACGUGGUUGUUGGUCGUUCUGAGCCACGGACUACCUCCCUCGGCGAUCUUCAGUUUCCACAUUUUGGCGAGAUUGGAUGUGAAGAAGAGAUGUACUGAAUUAGCUCUUGGGAAUCAUGUGAUACACUCUAGAUACAGUUCCGAUAGUGAAGCCUGUGGACCCUUUCGCUCAACCAAAUUAUUUAAUUUUGUAUUGUUAUGAGUUAUCUGUCACUACUCCACAUAACUCAUUUUAGAACAUUUUCGUAUAAAUGGUAAUGUUAUUUAUUGGGCACAUCUUUCAAAUACUCAGAAAGAGUUUUUAAUUAAAAAAAAAACAUACGAGGAGAAAUAUUAUCCAAAAGAGGUUUUAUUAAAUUAAAUUUAAAAAAAUUCUAAUUUUCAAAAAAACUUUAUUCAAUUUCUUACUUUUCAAUUUUUAAAAAAGUUAUUUUCAAAUCCAAAAAUUCUUUUUGACAUAUUUAUAAAUUAUUAUUUUAAAUCUUAAUUAUAUACAUAUAUAUUUUAAAAAUCUUAAUUCUCUCAAACUUUCUCAAAUCUAAACCGUAAAUUUAAACUCUAGAGAUAUAAAUGUACGUGAUUUCUUUAAUAAAAUUUAUUUUGGUUAUUUUGAGUUUUGUAUGCUAUAUUUGUAAGAAAAUUUAGUACUAUUCUUAAAUAUUUCUCAUAUUUAUUUAUAUAAAUAUUUUCUUUAUAAAAAGGAGCCUAUUUUGUGCCCUCUCAUACAUGCUUUUUGCUUUCGAAAAUAAAAAUAAGAUUACCAGAGUAAAAUACACUUGGUAAAACUCAAAAUCUAGCUCACGAUAGGCCAAGCAAAGUAAACAAGGUUGCCAUUUGAACUAUAAACGACGUUGCCAUUUAAUAACCUUUGAUCAAUUGCAUGUUUGCCAAACAGCCACGGCAUACAAUGAAAGCAUACACAGACGAGAUACUCAUAAAAUCUCCUCAUAUUGACGACCACAUCAAGCAUUUGACGGCCUAUUUCAACAACCUCAACAAACACGGAAUGAAAUUCAACCCAACCAAAUGUAUUUUCAUUGUCACCCACAGCAAAUUAUUGGAUUAUAUCUUCAGCAAAAAAAAAAUCGAGGCAAACCCAAAAAAAAAAUCAUCAGUAUUACUGACCACGCAUCUCCAAAAAAUACAAAAGAGGUACAUCGACUCACAAGUGCUGCACCUGCUCUUUGCGGAACAACACAUAUGUUGAAUGAGAUGCUAAAUGCGAAGAUACCUUCAAACUAUUAAAUAAGUAUUUAUCCACCCCACGAUCUUAGAGAAGCCAUAAAAUGGAGAAAUUUUGUACUUGUACAUAUCAAUCUUAAGCUCUAUGGUAAGUAGUAUUCUAGUUAGUGGAGGAUACAAAACAAGAAAUUAACAAAUGAAUGCCUACCUACAUGUAAUUCAAUGACUUGUAAGUGCGGAUGAGUUAGAAAUAAAUAGAGCAAAGAGUAAACGGUACACAAAGUUUGUUAAUGGGGUUCGUUUCCUACAUCUUCGUGACCUCGUCCAGAUUUCGAAUCCACUAGAAUGAGAAAGUAAAUUACAACCAAUUCGCAAACGCGUAACACAAGCACAACCCUCUUGGAUCACCGCUCUCUUCUAUAUCAUGAACUCUUUAAGGUAAACUAACCUUCAGCUACACUCUCCCAGAGUUCAGACUUUAUCAGGAUAACCUAACCAUGAGCUAAACUUCCUCUGAAUCUGGAAUUCAACCUUUUAACAUGGACAUCUAUGUGUUCAUCUUUGCAACCAAUACACUCAAAUGCUUCCUUGUUCCCUCUAACAUGAAUCCCAAGGAUGCUCGAUGGUUCCUCUCUUUGACUUCAAUGAAUUAACUAGAUACCAAUUUCCAAACUCUUUCGCAUGUAUUAUUCUUCUUUUUAUAUCAUGUUUAUGCUGCAUCUUCUGAAUAUAACUACAUAAAAGGCAUGUAGGCAUGUAAUGUAUAAACUUUGUCGUCGCCUAUUUACCACCUAACGAUUUCUUGAACAUUGAUAAAUAUUAGCUAUCACCAAAAUAAAACUUUAAAGGACAGUUGGAAAGGAAACAGAAGAAUAACAGAAAAAGAUUUGUUUAUAUGUUUUUUGUUGCUAAAAUUAGCAUAUACUCCAACGGCUUUUGAAACCCAAAAUGUUUCAUUUUAAAACAUUUUUUUUAUUAUCUUGUUAGUUUCAAAAGGAAAUUGUGUAAAGAUGGUACGAAGCGAGAGAAGAGACGAAAGGGUUGUGGUUGCGAUUGAUCGAGGCAAAGGUAGCCAGGCUGCACUGAAAUGGGCUGUUGAUAAUCUUGUAACCUCGGGAGAGAGUCUUACUCUUGUUCAUGUCAAACUCAAACAAGCUUUAGUUAUAAAUGGUAUCGCUCAGAUGCUUAUUCUCUAUUCAUUCAAAUUGGUGUUCAAAUUAUUUUACAUAAACAAAUUAAAAAUCAUUAUGCUGAUUCAAUGGUGUUGAUCUUGUAGCCAACCCCAAUAAGUCUAGUAAUGACGUCAAGGAAUUGUUUCUUCCAUUCCGCUGCUUCUGCAACAGAAAAGACGUGAGUUUUUUUUUUUGCCUCUCUUCAUUGGUUUUUAGUAUUAUCGUCACAAGAAAACAUUUAAUAUGAAUAUCACCUAGGUUAGUACCAAAGCCAAAACUGUGAUUUAUGGAAUCCUAUUCGAAAUAAAAUUACUCAAACUAAUAUAUAGUUUUAAAAGAAUUUACGAACAAAAACUGUUAUUUUAAAUAUUCUAGUUUUUAUAAUAAAAUAUAUAUAUUUAUAUCUUAACCAUAAUAAUUAAAAUAUAAUAUGAAUUUAUAUAUGGUUCACCUUGACAAAUAAACAAAAAGUCUAUAUAUAGAGUUAUUAUUUUGACCAUAUAAUAAAAUAUAAAAGUGAACAAGAUGGAACAAAAAAUGCUGCAAUCACGUGAAGGACAAUUAUCCCUAUUUUAGUUGAACUUUUAUAAACAUAUCUGUAUAUUUUGAGAAAAAUAAAAAUAAAAAUGGGGGUCCCCAAAGGGUGGGGGUCCAUUCAAAUGUUUCAGUAUAAUGUCCACAAGUCCGGCUCUGGUUAGUAGUUAGUUCUUUUUAUGAUUAUAUAUUCGUAGAGAUAGACGUAAUAUGGUCAAAAUGUUUGAAGAUUGGGAGUAUUGUUAACAGAUAAGAUGUGAAGAUGCGGUAUUGGAGGAUGUCGAUGCUGCUAAAGGAAUCAUAGACUAUGUCAAAGAGAAUGCAAUUGAUAUUCUAGUACUCGGUGCAUCCAAGAUGACUCUGUUAAAGUAUGCAUAUUUCUUCACGCAACUUCUUUAAUUAUCAACACAAAAAUAGUAUAUUAUGAGUGUUGUAAUCUUGUGUGUUUCAAUAGACGGUUCAAAGCGGCAGAUGUUACCAGCAUGGUGAUGAAAGGGGCAGCUAAUUUCUGUACGGUUUAUGCAAUCUCCGGAAGUAAAAUAUCGUCGGUUAGAUCAGCUACGUCUUCACCUCCCCCACUUUGCGCAAUACGUCCACAAAUAACAGCUCGGCCUAGCAACAACUCAAUGGGCCAAGGUGAAACUCAGGACGAGAUCGUGAUCAAGUAUAAGUAUGUUCCGUAAACAACAACGUGCUUGUCAUUAUUAUUCAUAUUCUGUUGCACAAAACUAAGUAACAAAUAAUUUGAAUAGGUCUCAAAGAGGAUUUGACCAGGCCUCAGUGACAGACUCCGACAUGUCGUUUGUGAGUAGUGAUAGGCCAAGCGUCGAUCUUAUGUUCCCAACGUCACGUCUCUCUAUUUACUCUGAGUUCGAAGACAACCGAUGCAGCUUUGCCACAUCCUCAUGCUCAUCAGAGAAACAAUCCGUAGACUUGGGUUCUUCAUAUUCGGCAUUCUCCCCAGGCUCUCAGGGAAGUGGGAGACUCUCCACGUGGUCACUCCAGGUAAAUAAUACUAUUUAUUAAUCAUUUCCAGUUUUUAUUAUUAUUUUUAUUAACCAAUCAUUAACAGACUAUAAAUCUUUACAGGAUGAUGUACAAGCUGAGAUGAGAAGAUUGAAAAUGGAGCUCAGGUAUACAAUGGAAAUGUAUAGCACCGCCUGUAAAGAAGCAAUCACAGCCAAGAACAUGGUAAUAAAUAUAUGUAAUCGAAAUAAAAUCACACAAAUUUCGAGAUAAAUGACAUUUAAAUAUUUGUAUUCUCAGAGUAAAGAGUUACACAAAUGGAGAGUAGAGAAGGAACACAAGCUAGAAGAAGCAAGACAGGCCAAAGAAGCGGCAAUGGCAAUGGCUGAGAACGAGAAGGCAAAGACCAGAGCAGCAAUGGAAGCAAUAGCCACCGCCAACAGAAUAGCAGAAAUCGAAGCACAGAAGAGAAAACAAAUCGAAACGGCGUCGCUUAGAGAAGCAGAAGAUAAGAACACUAGUGAUAGAAGGUAUAGGGAAUAUACAAUCGAGGAGAUCGAAGAAGCAACAGAAAAUUUCUCAAUAAAUAACAAGAUUGGAGAAGGAGGUUACGGACCUGUCUACAAGGGCACAUUAGACUACACAAAAGUGGCGAUAAAAGUCUUGAGACCGGACGCAAGGCAAGGAAGAUCGCAGUUCCAGCAAGAAGUGGAAGUCCUAACCUCGAUAAGACACCCGAACUUGGUUCUCUUGCUAGGAGCCUGCACGGAGUACGGGUGUCUAGUCUACGAACACCUCGAAAACGGCAGCGUAGAAGACCUUCUCCUCAAACGAGGAAACAACUCUCCAUCGCUUACGUGGCAGCUACGGUUCCGCAUCGCAGCCGAAAUCGCCACUAGUCUCAACUUCCUCCACCAGAUGAAACCGGAGCCGGUCGUGCACCGGGACCUUAAACCGGCUAACGUGUUGCUCGACCAGCAUAUGGUCAGCAAGAUCGCCGACGUGGGUCUCGCUAGGCUCGUCCCUCCCUCGGUCUCUGACGCCGUGACGCAGUAUCGAGUGACGUCAGCUGCUGGGACCUUGUGUUAUAUCGAUCCUGAGUACCAGCAGACGGGUAUGCUUGGGACCAAAUCAGACGUGUACUCGUUCGGGAUCACGGUGUUGCAGUUACUUACGGGGAAGCCACCGAUGAGCUUGACUCACCAGGUGCAAAAGGCGAUUGAAGGAGGGACGUUUGCUGAGAUUUUAGAUCCUGAUGUUCAUGACUGGCCACUUGAAGAGGCUUUAGUUUUAGCGAAAAUUGGUUUACAAUGCGCUGAGUUGAGGCGGAGAGACAGACCUAACUUGGGGAAGGAUGUGUUGCCUGAGCUUAAAAGGCUCAUGGAUUUAGCUGAAGAAAGCAUGUCAGAAUAACAGCGGAACUGAUAGUGUCGCAUCCACGUAAAUGCCUCUCUUUUUAUCUCUUCAGUUUUGUUAUACGUAGCAUGUCUUUGAUUUCUAAACCACUACUUCUUUUUAAACCUGUUUUAGGAGAUAUUAAGCGAUCCAUGUCUCAACAAAUAUGGGAGUGGUGGAAGUUUUAAUUACUGAACAUCCUCUUGAGGAGGUAAUACAGAGGGAGUAGAGGGCCGUGUGAAGAGGAAGAAGGAAUACACAAAUGUAAGUAAGAAAACUCAUCAGCUUGUUUUAUUGUGAAAUGGUGAAGAGCCCUAGCCAUGAAGAAAAAUUUAAUUUGUUUCUAAAAGUGUAAAUGAAUCUUCCAAAAAAUUUUCCUAUGUUGCCAGAUGCGAUUAAUGCAUCUGAUUUUGUAAGUUUUGAAUGAUUAAGUUUUUGCUUUUACAAGGUAAACACAAAAAAAAAUUAACAUUGUGUGAACAUUUUAUUAAAGCAUCCAAACAUAAGACCAUCUUUAUCGCAAGUUCUUAGUAGAGGUUUUAAACAAAAGUAGGCAUUUAAUUAAAUCAAAAUAAAUGAAAAUUAAAGUAACCGAUCCUUAAUACAGAGUUUUGACAACCGACUAUAGAGAGAUUUCUUAAUACACGUGUCACCAGGCUGUUAUUUAGGAACUUUUUUAUUUUCUCUUUUUUCUUUCUUUUCUCUUCUUUCUCUUCUUUCUCUCCUCUUCUCUCGUGUUCGUCGACUCAAAGAAAAACGACAGAGAUGCCCGCUUGAUCGCCGGCGUUCUGUUUCUCUCCGGCCGCCGAGUCUUUCACCUUUUUUUACUAGUAAGAUUUUCGUUCUCUUAUCGAUGUCUUUGUUUAUUAUUAUUAUUUUUAAUCGUUAGUUGAAUCUGUUUGCAAAUCUUCGUUGAUGUGAUUAAAUUGGCUUAGAUUAACCUUUUGUAUGUGUUUGAUUGUUGAUUGUUCGAUAUGUAUCUACUGGAGAUUGAAACAUAGGCUCAGUCUCGUGGGUACAGUAGCUUUCGAUCUGGCUUUAACCGCCGCUGCAGCCUUCGCCGCCGAUGAUCAUCUUCGUGAAAACGUCCCCGUCAUGGUGGUCGAGACUGUUUUCCCUGGAGGAUCCGACCCGAAGGCUACUGUCUCAACCCGAUUGGCUUGGUCUUGUUUUCUAAGCAGGUAACAUGACACAAGACGAGGCAUGAAGUUGGUUGCUGUUUCUAAAAAAACACGAGGCAUGAAGUUGGUAGAAAGUUACUUGGGAGUGGAAGGAUCACGGACUUGUGUCUUGUGGUGAUUGUGUCUUGUGGUGAUUGUGUAAUGUGUUUUAAGAAACCUUAUCUUUGUUCUAUCUACUUCCUCUUAAGUGCUAUCAACGCUCUCGAGAGUUAAUUGUUAUUACCGUGUGUUGUGCAGAUCAUUACAAUCAUCCAAGCAGCAGCUGGUGCUGGCCGUACAAUGCUGAUAAGUGAUAGUGGAAACGUUUACUCGUGUGGGAAAGAUUCGUUCGGUGAAGCUGAAUACGGAGGGCAAGGGUCUAAUGUUCCUGGUGUUGAUUUUGUUCUGUUUUCUCAUUGUUUCAAAUGUUCAUGUUGAUCUUGUUCAUGCUAAAAUGUUUAAAUUUAUCUUGUAAUGCAGGUCUUGUUGUCUAGUUCGUAUGUCAGGAUCACUCACUCUAUCUUCAAAGAACGUCAAGAAUGGCUCGGGAAAGGUGUGUGUGUGUGUUGGAGUGUGUGUUGGAGUGUCACGAGAUAUGUGUGUCUGUUGUAGUUGUUGUCUUGUGGCACAAACAGUUUAUAAAUCACAAGAGAAGUGUUGUUGUUGUUGUCUUGUGUCGCGGGUGAUUUAUAAAUCACAAGAGAAGUUGUAGUUGUUCUCUUGUGUCACAGACACUUUAUAAAUCACAAACACACUUGAUUCUCUUUAUAAAUCACAAUCAAUUCUUCUCCUUCUCUUCACAUUCUUCUCUUCAUUUUUUUGCUCACAUUCUUCUCUCAAAUAUGAUGGGUGUUCAAAUUACAAUUCGUAAUAGACAAAUGCAUCACCAACUCAAAACUGAUUUGGUUGAACAUUUAUGAAGUAAAUUUGUAUGUGAUGAAAACAACAACUGAGUUCGAGAUGUUUAUUUCAAAUUAUUUUCGUUUAUUGUACUAAUUUUUAUUUUUAUGUUUUCUUUUAAAUCUAUGUUUUAAAUGUUAUCUUUUAAUAUGUUUUAUUUAAUAAAUAAAUUUUAUCUUAAAAUUUUUUUUUUUUAAGAAUCUCUAAUUAAGAAACUCCCAUUGGACCACUCAAAAUAAGAGUUUCUUAACUAGAGUUCUUAAUCCCACUAAAGUACAUUUAUAUAACUAAAUUAUCAUUAAGAAACCCAUUUAAGAGUCAUGGGAUAAUCAUGCUCUAAGUAGUUGAAAUAAAAGGGAAAUAAGAAGUCAAAAGGGCCUAUUCCCAAAACUAAAACACAGCAUAACGAAAAGAAACACCAAGUGUCUCUCACGCUAUCUGUAUUGUUUAUUCAGUUUAUAAGAUGCGCAAACGCUAUCAAAAAAUUCCUUGCUUGCAGAUAAAUAUGUAUAUUUCCUUAUUGUUCUAGGGUGGAUCAUUUCUUCUUAUGCCAGAGGAACUACAGUGUGCAUCAUAUAAUAGGCACUCCGGGUAUAAGAUGUGCGGCUUCUCUUGAUAUGUUUAUGUUCUUGCAUGGCCAGUUCGUUAGGUCUACGAGACGGCCAUUUAAAUCGAAGAUUAUGAUAAGUUGUAAAGAACUGUUUCUUUCGCUCAGAUAAUCUUUUUAUUAAGAAGGAUAAAGUUUGUGUUCAAAAAAAAAAAAAAAAAAGGAUAAAGCGAGCUAAUCCUAAAUUUAUAGUUGAAUCACACAAAAAUAUAACAAAAGGCCCUCUUACUCUUUGAAGUUCAUUACUCUUACUAAACACAUUUGACUUACAUUCAAUCCGAGAAGAAGAUCACACUGAAACGCCUAGCAAAAGAGUGAAAUACACAGCUAGAAAACUACUGACGAGAAAUAUAACUUCUAUGAUUACAAAUAUAAGUCAUCGGAACCAAGAGAUCGGAGUAGAGUUCGUUUGGGGAAGCUGCGGCAUCAUACAGUGAAGAAGCUGCUGCUGUUGCUGCGGCUGCUGCCACUCAGGCAGAGAAACACUACUACCACUAGUGACGCUACUGUUUUCUUUUUCCUCCACAUCCAUGUCUGCUUCUUCCAUCAUAGUAUCAUCACCAUCCAACUCGACAAUCUCUGGCUCGCGAGGUUUCUGGAAGGUUGCUUUGGAUUCCAAAAACUGGUAAUGAGAUGGGUUCCAGGGAACAACAGCUUGUUGCUUGUUAGCUUUGUAAUCUUCUUCAUCAGCUACACCUACAUCAUGAAGAAAUCUAUCUGCACAAUAAGAUAAAAAAAAAAAGACACCUAUUAGAAACUAACCAAUUAAACACUGUCUAACAGCUUCUCAAAGACUAAUUAAUGAUUCUAAUAAACUCUCUUAAAUGCUUACUCUUCAACCCUGAGAUCAAGCUUCUAUCAACGAAGAGGUGAGGCUGGUGGUGGUGUUGAGGAGGAGGCUUGAAGAGCACAAUCGCUCUCUCUUCGUUUUGAGGAGAAGACUGGAUAUGAUCGUGAUCCUCCAUAACCACCUCUUCCUCCAUAAUCGGUGGUAAAUCCAAAUCCUGAUGCAUCGCAAAACACACAAUUAAUCAAAUAAACAAUACAUACUUAGGGUUUUCAGGAAAAUCAGAAGAGAGAAAUUACGAGUCGGCGAAUCUUUGAGGCGGGAGAAGAGAGGGAAAAAUCGGAGAAGUCGUCGUUCACUCGGUCAAUCUCCUUCCUCUUCAUCCUCGUCGGCACACAAUCGUAUCCCGCCAUGUUUUUCUUUUGACAAGAGGCGAACGAAGCGAAUCUUCCAGCGAAUGAAGAGUAUGGGAAGAGGUAGGUGCUCGCGACGCUUUUUAAAAUUUUAGCAGAGAGCUCUAAGUAGUAAGUUUAGUUCCGAAGAGGUUUGGGAGAGAGAGAGGAGAAAAGGAGGAGGAGGAGCACUUUCUCAGAUAUUCUAGAGGGAUCCAGAAACCGUAGAUUAUUUACCUUUUUCGACUAACUUAUUGGAUUAUUGGAUCCAAACUAAUCCAGUUUCAAUUACAAUCUUUAUAUUGGGUUUAUUUGUUUCCGGACCGUAUGUGAUGUGUAAUUAGGCUUUGGGUAUUUGAUUCCAUAUUCCAAUUUUGUCAUAUCUCAUAUAAAUUUAUUUUUUAAAUUAAUUACUUGUAAAUAUAUUAUUUAGUUUUGAACACUGAGUAGGGAGUUUUAUUAAAAUGCAUCACUUUCUAAUACUAAAACUAGAAUGAUAUCAUCAUGUGUUCCAAAAAAAAAACUAGAAUGAUAUCUUUUGCAGAAAAGUUUGUUAGGAAAGUUUAAUCUUUCUUUUCAAAAAUUACCACAGUUAAUUAUUUUCAAAGUAAUAAUAAAACUGUUAUUAUUUGUUUCCAAUAAAAAAAGAAACUAAAUGAUAUUUUUACAUAAUUAUUUUUUGGUAUUAUUAUUAGUGGAACAAUUCACAAUUCCGAACAAUUUUGCCUAAGCUUAAGCUGAAUAACCGACGAGUAGUUCAAGUUUUAAGUAGAAAAAAUAACUAAUUCUUAAAAUUAUAUUGAGUUAGAUAACAUUUAUGUUAGCCAACAAUUUGUGGAAAGUUUUUGUCUUUCUCUAAUUUUGACUCCAGAGAUCUUUUAUCGGUUAAUUUUGUAGUCUUGAUUAUAUAUUUAGUGAUUAAUGAAAUAUUUUAGAGACUAAAACAAUAAAAUAAAAUAAAAACAUAUAGUAGUACACAGUACCCCCAAAUAAAUGAGUAUGGGACGAGCUUUUUUGCUCAUAGAAAUUUAGGCGGUCGGUCGAAAAGGAAAUAAUAAGACUGCCGUCAAAUUUCGAUGUGUAAUUAUAAUAGUAAUCAAGAAAAUGUUAAUACCAAUUGCACAUUUUACCACUAAAAAAUGAUUUGUAGAUGCCAAAAAAAAAAAAAGACUUGCAAGUGUUAUAAGUCACAUAACUUUAUAAGAAACAUAGUUAAACAAUAGAAUAAUAACAUAAAUUUAGGUCCAAGCAAAGCAUAAUCAUAACGUACCAACAAACAUACAUAUUUCAUAUCAAUCUCUUGAACAGAAGCAUAAUACUCAUAGUAAUCCGGUUCAUUGAAAGUUUGAAACCCUUAAUAGUACUCACACGUCUCUGUCCCUUUUACAUUCGGCUGGCAUAACUGGGAACCUAGUACGGUCGGUACAGUAGUUGUAGAUGGUCCAUUUCAUGCGGACCCAUUUGAGACGACGAUAUUGUUCGGCAUCAAGGUCACGGAACUCAUUCUGAUCCCACCACAUGCGGCCUUGAGUAGCACAGUACUUGGCCUCCACAGAAGCUUGGCAGCCGUCGAUGUGGAAUCCUCUGUAGGAAGCUAUGAAGGGUGCAUUAGCCCAAUUGGUUUUCUCUAGCCCUCCUCUCGUGGCCCAAUCGUCAGCGUUCCAAAGGCUCGAGUAUAGCUUCAUCGGUUGGUUGAAUGGGAAACGUACUCCUAGAUCCUUAGCGUUCUUGAACACACGGAUUGGUAUGUUGUCAACAAAGAAUCUGAUAUAAUACAAAAAAAAAUCAAACUAACCGGUAUUAGUUUUACCACAGCGGUUUGAACAUACGACGUUCUAUAAUUAAAAUUUGAACCCCGUAUUAGGGCACAUGAUUUAACAGAUUGAAUGAGUCACUAGCCUAUCCAUCUAUGCUAGCUCAUUUGAAUAUUUUUAAAAAAAAAUUAAAAGCUGAACUUUUUUGUCUUUUUGACUCAAUUGUCUCUCUGAAAAAUCUUGCAAGACCCCACUACUUUUUACAGGAUCAAGAUUGGGUCACGCCCGAGGUUAAAAUGACACUAUUAAGAAAACUAUAAUAAUAAUAAUUUGAAAAUUGCGACAAGAUGGGAAAAAAAAGAAAUAAUAAUGGUGGUGGUAGGACCAUGUUAUACCUGACAACUUUUAACGUAUACUAAUAUAUACGAAAGUGUAAUGUAAGUAAUGAGGAUAGAGUGCAUACACAAUUUGGUAGAGGUUCCAGAGGAUGGAGUAAGUAUGAUAAGCCUUUGAAGGGUCGAACCAGAGAUAGAUGCGUUGCUCUCUGUUUCCCUUUCCUCCUGUGAACACAUUCGUCUGCAAUAUUGCUGGCUGGCCUGUCCUGUUCCCGAGAAACUCGAAAUCUAUCUCGUCAUGCUCGUUGUUAGUCGACGACAGCUUCACACAUAAAAUUUUUCAAUUAUUAGUUAGAUUUGUAUUGGUGACGGCAAUUAUACAAACAUAUUAGUAUUUUUCUUGUUUGUUUGAUAAAGGAUUAGUAUUUCUAUUUUAGUCACAUUUUUUUGAGAUUUGCGGUGAGACUCACAUAAAAUGCAGUGACGACCCCAGCGGUAUCACCAGCUGGCAGCUUUAUGUGCAUACUGAAAUGUCCGAACAAAUAUGACCCUUUGGAUUGAAACCCUGUCCCUGUUAUCAUUCACCCCAAUAAAAACAAAGUGAAUAUUGAACCCAAACAAAAAAUAAAUAAACAUAGUGACCAUUCCAGGCCGUCCCAAUGUUUUUGGAUAUCUUGCGCAAAAUCUAAAUAUAGACCUUUUUGUAUGGUUUUUAAGUUAAUGUGAAAUAAUAUUGUUUCAAAAACUGAAACUAAAGAUAGGAAACCCAAAGCUAUAUAUAUUUAUUUGCCUAUGUUUCAGACCGAACCUAAUCAUCCAAAAUAUCUUGCAGUAGUAAAUGUACCAGUGUAUUUGUCGAGGAUGAGUUGGAGUUCGGAACCGCCAUUGAGUUGCUUCUGGUGGUCAAAAGCCCAAGUUGGAACGUAGUUUCGGCCGAAUGGCACAUCAAUGGCCUUCCGUGGAGGAAUUGCCAUUACAGUAGAAGAGGCCAUCAGAAACAGAGCUACGAGAGCCCAUGGAGUUGAAGAAACAGCCAUUGCCGGUCUGGAGAGAGAGAGAGAGAUGAUGAUGAAUGAUGUGGUGAGUGAAGCUAAGGGGGUGUGGGUGGCUUUAUAUAAGAACGAAUUCUUUGGUGGGACGUUCUUCUUUAUUACGAUAAUAAACUUUUAAAAAAUCCAACUUAUUUUCAAGUUUCGCGGACCUUUCUUUUGUGAGAACUCAAAUUAUAAUGGGUUACAACUGUAAUAUGGACAUCAUACGUACAGCUAUACAGCUUUCACAAUCAGUUUUCUAUUUCAUUAUAAAAUAUUAUGCAAUGUUGGGUAAAUAAAUUGUGUUAAUAUUUCGAGUUGCGACAUAUUUGUUGACAAAACUAGACGAGUCUUUCAUUGUCUUCUUACUAACACAGUUCAGUAUUUCAUUUGACUAAUUUCAUAUAAAUGACUAAAUUGUAGGACUUCCAUCUCUAGGCUGUUUAGGAAAAGAUGAAACUACAUUAUAGCCAUGUUCUUUUUGCAAACGCUGCAACCAGCGUCGGCGUUCAAAACUUACACCUAUUUUUAUGGCAAAUACACCGCUGGCGGGACAAAACCGAUUUGUUUUCCAAAUCGCUACGGCAAAAAUAUAAAUAAACCUGACGCUGAAAAGUAGCAGCGUUAGCAACCUUCUCUAGUUGUGUCUUUGUCAGCUUGUUGGCGUUAGAUUUAGUUUUCAAAACUCGUUCAGUUUACCAUUGUCAUAGUAAUUUUUUUUUGACGCAACUGCUGGCCGCAGCGACCAUUAAAAGAACAUGGCUUAUAUACAUUUUCUUCAAAUACAAACUAGUGGCUAAUUUGUAUACUUUUUUAAUCAGAGUUAAUUUGUAGAAAUUAACUUUCAAAUCAAUGUAAUGAAUUUGUGGUUGUGUACUGUUGGGUUUUGUUUACCUUAUUAAUUGCUAUACAAAUAUAAUUUUAAAUGUAAACAAAACUGUCCGUUUGUAUAAACUUACUCUUUUCUUUGGAAAACAAUAGGAAAUCAUGAUCAAUUCAUAUAAUAAACAAAAAGUGAUGAAUUUAAAUACAGCCUUUACGUCAAUUAUAGUUAGUUUAUUACCAUUAGACAAUGAUUUUGGAGGGUUGGACUCCUUAUCUACCACCAUAUUUUAUCUGUUCUACGGAAGUUGGAUCAUGAUAAGGCACAUGCCGUUAACUAUUACACCACAGAGACAAUUUACACCUUCGAAGAGAGGAUUGGUAGAAUUGAAGAGAUUGCCUACGACCUGAAAUCAUCUCAGAUGACUGAUCAUGUGAGGACUAAAGUAACGCUCAACAUCGAGAAUCCAACAACUGCAUCUAAAAUCUUACUUCUCCUCUCUGUAAAACAAUUGUUAUUGAAUACAAGUAUGGAAAGCUCCAUAAAUGAUGUUUCUCAUGUCUCCGCAUCACACAUGAGAAAUCUUCAUGUCCUCUUCAAAAGCAAAAACAAAAACCAUAAGUUUCUGGUUUAUCAGUGGUACAAAAGAAUAAAGUCGACAUCCACAAUGCUGAUAAGAUGGAGCAGGGAGAUCUAAUCAAAACGUUGGAGGGUCCCCACAGUGUUUCUCUUAUGUUUCCCGAACUGUCUAAAACCGAUCAUCAGAUUGGCUUCAAUACUUUCUCACUCAGAUAAUUUUGGAAGGAAAGUUAGAAUUCUAAGAGCCAAGCAGUAAACUGAUGAAGCAAUUUCGGUCCCUGUUGUCCCUUUGGAUCAUGUAAUUUUAGGCAGGUUGCCUCCUUUUGCUUUACCUUGUUUUUAUUUGUUUUCUCCGGGGUAGAGUAUUAUUAGAUUUACUUUGUAAAAUCUGAACAUCAUUAAUAUGAUAUUAGCAUUCUUAGCAAAAAAAAAAAACUGAUGAAGCCAAAACUGGAGUAGAUAAAAACGUUAAAUAUGAUUUUGAACUAUAAAAACGAGAUAAAAGGUAGAAGGUGUUGACAAAACAUUCUCUAGCACACUCAAUACACUUUUGUAACUUACUUUUCUAUGCCACAAAGUUAAAUUCUAAUUGAAUGAUUAAAAACCUGAGUCGAAUGCGCAGCUGAACAAGGAAUUUAGUAGAUACAGCCAUUCCAUUCCAUUUUUUAUUUUCUUGGUUGGGUUAUUUCAUUUCUGUUUUCAAAAGCCUCGCUACUUUUCAUCCCUCGUUAUGUUCAAUUGUUCAUUGCCCAAUUCUAUGUUUUUGAUGUUUUGAAGAACUUUAUGUAACUUACGUUAUGUUUUCAUCAAAUGUAGUCAUCAAUAGUUUGGUGUUUAGUAAUUAGAAGGAUCUUAUAAUAUGUUUAGUUAUCUAUUUGUUCUUGACAUAUGUACACAACUUUUAAAUAAUUCUUAAUGAAACAGAUUAAGUUAAAACAUUUUAAAGAUCAACAAUUUUCAGUUACCCACUAGCUAGCUAGCUAUAAAGAAGAUAAGAGCGUUUGUGAAAAACCCUACCGAAGUACUUGAAUAUAUUAAGAGUAAUGACAUACUAUCAUACCGUUGACCCACCAUAAUUUAUGAUCCACUUACUUCUUGUUUUAUACAAGUCGAUUUUGUAAGUUCAAUAUUUAGGGGAUGCACACUCCUCCAUGUGAAAUAUUCAUCUUCAUAAUAAAGAAAAUGUAGUCAAUUAUCGGAAGAAUACAUGUGGAGUGUAUGAUGAGGCCGCCUUCAAGACAAGAAUAGCAACUUGGAUAGAGACAGAUUGAUCAUGUCAUUUAUCAUUGGGUGUUAGGUCUUCUUCGAGAUGUCGUUUGUGGCAACAACAACAUCACGAGCUUUUGCCUUCAUCUCUGUCACCGACAUGGUUUAAUCAUGCAUUAAUUAAGUGUUAGCAUACAUAAUAACGAAAAAAAUUACUUCCAUUGCCAAAAACAAAUUAUAUUUCCACUGUUUUAUUUUAAGUGAUGUUUAAAAAAAAUUGUUUCAAAUGAUGUUUUCAAAUUUCUGAGCUUCUAGUAUGACUAUAUGAGCACUGGUUUUUUUUUUCUCAUUGAUCUUUGUCAGUCCUAUUAAAGCUUUUGGAUCAAUAUGAGAUUAUUGUGUGCAACACCUGUCAAACAUGUGUAACAUCAAUUUUCUAUAAUCGUCACCUGGCUUCACACCCAUGAACUACCUUCGAUCCAUGAACCACCUUCGAUCUAUUGUCUCUUCUAUACUUCCAUGCCGCCAAUCUGGAUAUAUGUAUACUUGAUAGUAGGAUCUAACAUCGUGUCCAUAUACUUAGAGCAAUAGGAGCGCAGUAAACCUCAUAACCUUAUCGUCGUGUCUUAUCAUUAUUUCAAAAGGAACGAUUCCUUUAAUUCCUUUUCUGUUAAAACCAGGAGCGUCAUUCGCACCUCAGUUUUUCUUCUUGUCUUCCAGUCUCAAGAAAUUCAUUAUCAUUCAAACAUCAAACAUCAAUCAAAUAUCGACGGAUACCAUAAAUGAUUUGGAGAAUUUUUUAUAUCUACUCUCAAAAUUUUACGAACGUUCUUUACAGAAAUAUAUACGAAAGUCAUAAAAUAUUUACACCUAAGAAAAAAGAAACAAUAUAAUUUAUAUAUGGUAUACCUCCUAAUAGACUAAGCGACCGCAAAAACUAUAAAAGUUCUUUAUAUUAUUUUUCUAGCUGUUAUAGUUUUUGUCACUAUUGUUUUUAGAGAAAAGUAAUUAAUCUAUUUUCAUCAUAAAGAUUGCAAUUAUGAAUUUUAAUCUCACUAAAAAUGUUUACUAUUGCUUUAUUUUGGAUACGUUUAAUAUAUGUGUGAGUACUUCUUUUGAUGGAAAACUGUUUCUAAAGAGGAUCGGAUUAUGGUUUAAACUCCAUAUUGUACAAAAAUAGACCGCAAAUUACUUUUGAAAUAAUUUUCUUGGGACGUCCUAUAUGGCUAUAUCUCUCCGCAAAUCGCAAGUUUAGAACAAUGAAAAAGAUAAAGACUUUAAUGAACCACCCUUGAUAUCUCCAUAUUUCUUCAUACCUGUAUAUAAGGUGGAACAGCCAAAAUAAGAUCAUUUUACCGAGUAGCACCCAUGUGUCUGUUUUAAAUGGUCGGUCCAUUAUUCGGUCAGUUUAUAUCCAAUCUUCCUGAAACGAAGCUGGACUUAAUUACAUAUCUACUUUCUUAAAAGACGAUCGAGUUAGUCGUGUUAAGUCAAGAGAGUCAAUAUGUUAAAUAAAUGAGCGUGCGAAAUCGUAUUUUUAGUUUAUUGUAUUUAAUCCUAUUGUGUUCGUGAAACAGUUGAAAACACGCCCCUCUGACUUUCGAAUCUCGAUACACAUUCAUGUGGAUGAGAAUCUAAAAUAUUUAAACUAAAAAUUAUUGUGUUUGCUGCUAAAAACGAAUACAUUUUGAUGUAUAAAGCAGAGACUUAGAGCAUCAGUGGUGGCAAAGUAACGAACUUAACGGCAUUCCAAGGGAAAGCUGGAAAGGCAAAAUAGCCUCUAAACCACGUAACAAUAUUUUAUAUGGAGAAGAAUAUGAUAAUAUUUUUUGUAUACAAAGAAAACUUAAUUUACAUCAAUAUGGCAACUUUUGCGGUGUUACAUCAUACAUUUCAGUUGCUAUUUUUAAUAUAUUAUUUGUUACUUGUUAGUUUAGUUAGUAACUUCGAAUAAGUAAUCUAUCAAAUAUUAUUAGGUAAAUAAUGUCGGGUUCUUUGUAAUACCAUAGAAACAAGAGGCAAACGAUCAAUGAAAUCAAAAUAAUGUUUUAUUGAUCUUAGUAAAACUGUAAUAAACUUUUAUCAAGCAAACAUAAGAAAAUAGAAUACUAUAGAACUAAAAAGUUUUUAUUACAAAAAUAGGUUUCAAGGGUCAAAAUGACCAAAAUUAGUUUCAUUAAAGAUGUAAAGUAUAUUUGCACUUCUAGAAUUAACUAAUAUAAACUUAGGGUUUAGAUUUUAGAAAAAGGGAUUGGAAUUUAAAAUUUAAGAUUUAGAAAAUAAAAUUUAAAGUAACAAUUUCAGAUAUAUAUUUGAAAAGAAAAGUUUAAGAGAAAAUGUUUCAAGAAAAGAAAAAAAGUUCAAAAAGAAAGAUAAAAAACAAAAGUUCGGUUAAAGUUUUGAAUAUAGUUUUUAGAAAAUUAAAAAACAUAUUUUAUUUUUAAUAUUUUUAUAUAUAUAUAAAAAAGUAAGGGUAUAGUUCUUUUUUAUCACUCUAAUGAAACUUAUUUUGAUCAUUUUUGUGCUUGUGUGUCUUUUUUGUUCCCAGACAUAAUAGACGCUACAACUUUAUUACUAAGACCAAGUUAAAUGACCGUAUACAAUAUGAAUAAGUUUUGUUUUUUUUUCAACAACGUGAAUAAGUUUUGUAAAGCUCCCAAAUCCUCCAAGUUUAUAGAUAUCUAGCCCCGAUGGUAUUCAUAGUCCCACAGUCGGGUCCACUGAACUAUUCCUCACAUGAAUCACAGAAGGAGAAUGAGUGAGUAUACAAAAAUACUCGGUCAGAGAGCUCAAAACCGCCCACAUGAACCAGUAACAUAUAUAACAUCCAGCAAUGAAUUUCAUACCAGCAACUUAUCAUUCCAUUUCAAAUCAUUCCGUACUUCGCCAUUUCUCACUACUAGCCCAUUUUCCUACUACUCAGUCACUUCAUCAUAUUCGAUCCCGAAGGUCCAUCACGACCCACCCCCAAAAUUCAUCACGAUCCGUCUAUCCAUCUUGAUCCUGAAGGUCCAUUUCGACCUAACGGUCCAUCUCGAUUCCUACAUUUGCAGCUCUAUAUAAAUCGUCCUAGGUACUAUGAAUAAAACCAACUCUUUUUUUCCUAAUUUUAAACCUUAUGUUUUCUAGAGUGAUUCUAAUUUGUUCAUUGUGAAGAGUCGAUCUUUGGUGUGACUCCUCAUAUCAAAACCAAUUUAUCAAAAGAUUUCCACAAUCUCUGGUGUCACUAACUAAAGAUCUAAGGAGCCUCGUAACUUAGGUUUUGGGUGUUGGGUUUAAUAUAUUCAGAGUUCAACCCACACGACUUCUUAUAUCCAAAGCUCCAAUUGUUUAUCAUUUCUUCUAUCGAACAACAAGACUAGAAACCAAGAAACCAAGGAACAAUGCACCUAGACACCUUCCUAAUCUCAACCAAAAGGUAAGUAUUUGAAUACAAUGUUUUUUUUUUUUGUCAAACGAAUACAAUGUUCACUAAUGGUUUUUGUUCCUUGUUUCUUUUGAAUUUCCAUUUGGUUUAGCUCGUCUUUGAUUCUGAAUAAAUGGACGUCGCCAGUUAGCUUUUUAAUUUUUUUGUAUGUAAUUAUUUGCUUCAAAGACCCUAGAAAGCACCAGCUACUUGACUAUAUAUAAGGUCCAUUACAGCUGUGUAGUAUUUACUCAAUAUCAAUAAACAAACUGAAUUGUUUUUUUUGUGAACUUAAACAACAGCUGUAAUGAAACUUCUCUGCUUAGAUCAUGAGAGCAGUACCUUCUAGGCCAGAGUUGAUUGUGUGUUUUUAUCACAAGUUUUACACAACUUAUGUGGUACACUUAGUUCCAUCUUCAUCAAUCGCUUUAUUAUUGUUCACCAGCGGAAUCCAUUGAAACGAUUAGAUCGAGUCUUUGAAUCCACUUUUGGUUAAGACGGCCAAGUUUUGCCACCUCGAUUCCACAAGAAUUUGUCAACCUAGGCUUGUAUCAUGAACCAACCACAAUAUCAGGCACCAUAGUAGUAAGAGAGGACUUCAUUCAAGUUGGGGAGCACUUGAUAAUUCUAAUGAAGCAAGAAGACUUAUCCCCUAAUUGAAGAGCAAACACUCGUUUUGUCUAAUUUAAGAGCCUUAAAUACAUAUCUAUCAACCAAUCAUGGAUAAACAUCCAACGGCAUGCACCAAUCUCUAACUAAUAUCGUUUCAAAUGAGAAAAAAAAUCAUGUUUUAGAGCAACUCCAAUGAAAAGUUUUAAAGUUCUCAAAAUACAAAUUACCAAUCCAAAAAAUCUUUAAAAAAUAUGUUUGAGUUUUCCGUAAUUUUGAAAUACGAAUAAUUAAAACUAGGUGUUUUGUCCGCACAUGCGGGCAUAAUCAUCUGUCGAAUACUUAUUUUACUAUCCAAAAAUCGGCAUUAUAAAACUCUAAUUGGUGAACAUGUUGAAGGAAAAAAAAUUAUGGUGAAUUCUUUGUUCCCCAUGGAGAAAUGAAUUUAUAGGAAAAAUUUUCCUUAUGCAAUUUUGAUAAGGAACAAAUUGAACAAAAAUUCAUAUUUUUUUUUAUUUUUUCAAUUCCUCAAAUGAAAUUUUAUUUUUUAUUUUGUUCAUUUUUUUCAUUCUUUUAGUGGUCACCAACUGAAGCUAUAGUUUUUUACGAAUUAAACUUAAACCGGUUUUGAAGUAAAAGCAAGAAAAUUUGUUUUAAACUCAGUCACAAGUUAAGUUAUUAUUUAUGAUUUUAAAUAGUUAAAUCAAACAUCAAAUUAUUUAUAUAUGUCAAAAAAGCGUUCAUCAAACUAUGGACUUAUUAUUGUGUUAAAAGUUUUAAAACACGCAUAUAUUAGAAAUAGUUUAGAAAAUAUCUUUAUAUAAAUAUUUUUGUUUGACUAAUAUUCAAUUAUAAACCGUUUUAUAUCUUAGUUUUUUAACUUUAUAAUAAAAAAUAUUAUUUCAGAUAGCUAAACAAUAUAUAUAAGAAUUCUCUUAAUUUUAAAUAUAUUUUCACAAUUUUAUUAUAUUAAUUUAUAAUUAAUUAUUUAAUAUAACAUGUAAAUUUAAUAUUAUUAUAAUAAAAUGCGUGUUUUAUUAUAUAUAAAAUUUAUUACGGGUUUGUAAAAAUUAAUAAAUACUCAGUUAAAACUAAUAAUAAAUCAAUGACCUAUAUAAAAGUUUAAAACCUAAUAAAAUAUGACAAAUAAGAAAAUAAGAAUUUUAGUAUAACAUAUAGAUUUUAAUAUUAUUAAAUAAAAAUUCGUUUUUAAUUAUAUAAAAAAUUCAUUACGAUAUUUUUUAAUUAAUAAAUUAGUGAUUCAGCUAAAAAUUAUUAAUAAAUCAAUGACUAAGCUAAAACCUAAUAAAAACAUGACAAAUAAGCAAAAUUACCUAAAAUCAUGGAGAACAUGACAAAUAAGCAGAAUCACUUCAUAAAUAAUAGUAUAGAUAUUAAUACUUAGAUAUACAUAUAUGUAUUUUGUGAACAUUUUGUUGAGAAAUCCUAUUGAGGUCACUCUUAGGUUUUUUUUAUUAAAGUACAGUAAUAUUUUUAUCAGGAAAUAAAUAGAAAAGAAUACUUAAUGAGGGGGUUAUUCCGAAAUAUACAUGUAUCCGAAGUUAAUAAUGAGAAAGAUUUUAAAGCUAUAGUUGAUAAUAUAAGAAAACUUCAAGGAGAAGAGAAUCACUUUCCGCGUUUCCUGACCAAAAGCUUUUUUUGUUCAACUCCGAUCGAAGUCUCGUUCUGCUAAUUGGAAUAAUCUUCCCUUCAAAGGUUUGAGAUUCGUCUUGGAUCAUGAUGAAUUCCAUCUUCGGAAAGCGAAAAACUCCCGCAGGUUUCUUCAAAUCCUCAGAUCCCUCUCGAAUUGCUUCUGUGAAAGAAAAAAAAAAUUGAAUUGUUAGGGCUUUCAUCAUCGCUGUUAUUUUGAUCUAUUGUUUUGUGACAUCUUCUCCUCCGUCUGGUGUUUUAAUUUGGGUUUUCAGAACUUCUGCGGGAAAACAAGAGGAUGCUUGAUAAGUCAAUCAGAGACAUUGAGAGGGAGAGGCAAGGCCUUCAGACACAAGAGAAGAAGCUUAUUACCGAGAUCAAAAAGACAGCAAAGCAGGGACAGAUGGUUUGUUUUUGUCUCUCUUAUGUUAACCUAUAUCUUGUGUACAUUAGAGUUAUGAAGUGUUUGGUUGGCUUAUUAUGCUUUUUAGUUUUUAAUGAGCUUUAUAAGUUUGAUUGAAUAGAUUGUGUUUAACUCACAGUUUGACUUUAAUUGAUUUUUGGUACUCUCAGGGAGCUGUGAAGGUGAUGGCAAAGGACCUUAUCAGAACACGACACCAGAUUGAGAAGUUUUACAAGCUUAAAUCUCAACUCCAAGGUGUAUCUCUCAGGAUCCAGGUAUAUAUGCUUUUACUUCUUGCCUUUGGUUAUUGCGAAAGUUCCGUUUCCAAAACUAAUGUUUUGUGUUAAUUUCAGACUCUGAAAUCAACGCAAGCAAUGGGUGAGGCAAUGAAAGGUGUGACUAAAGCAAUGGGGCAGAUGAACAGGCAGAUGAACCUGCCGUCUCUGCAGAAAAUCAUGCAAGAGUUUGAGAGGCAGAACGAGAAGAUGGAGAUGGUCUCUGAGGUGAUGGGAGAUGCUAUUGAUGAUGCUCUGGAAGGAGAUGAGGAAGAGGAAGAGACUGAAGAUCUUGUUAGCCAAGUCCUUGACGAGAUCGGUAUCGAUAUCAACCAAGAGGUAAUCACAUUCUUCUUCUUUUUAGAUAUCCAAUCAACAAAACUGAAUCUGAAUUGAAACUGAGACUGGCUGCUUCUGCAAAUGCUUAACUUGAUUGAACUGGUCUGUUGGUGUUUCAGCUGGUGAAUGCUCCUUCUGGUGCGGUGGCAGCACCAGCAGCAAAGAACAAGGUGGUGCAAGCUGAGGCGGCCGGAGCUGAGGACGGUGGGGGAAUAGAUAGUGAUCUUCAGGCAAGGUUGGACAACCUUCGAAAAAUGUGAGGCGUUCUCGGUUUCUGUAUAUUUACUGUUACCCUAUUACUUUUAAACUUCAAAGGAAAAUGUGGCAAACCAGGAUAUGGUUACGAUUUGAGGGUGGGUUUGUAAUAAUUUCAUAAUUUGGUCCCUGAUUUAUAAAUCUCAUUGUUGUCCCUUUAUACUUUUGGACACAGCUCUAGUAUGACCCUCAGGAGAAAAACAAAAAUAUCUGUUAUCACCAAUUCUAAUUUAUAUGGCUAUAAGGAUAGCAAUAUUAACAAACUGACAUUAAUGAAAGUUUAAUCUCAAUCGGUAUGAUAAUGUUUUUUUUCUUCGAUCAUAGCCAUAUGAUUUUCAUUAACUCUUUUGGUUGAGACAUAUUUCCUUUCUAACUUUUAACCAAAAAAUCAUUGUUUAAAUAAGAAUAUAUAACUAUGUGAUGACCCGGAGAUAAAUAAAAUAUGACAAAUAAGAAAAUAAGAAUUUUAGUAUAACAUAUAGAUUUUAAUAUUAUUAAAUAAAAAUUCGUUUUUAAUUAUAUACUUCUAAGGCCAGCAGGUCCGGCAAUAAACGAUCUGCAUCGACUAUUGCUAGAAAAACGCCGUACCGUACGAGAUCUUGGAUUCUUUAUAUACAUCUAAAAUAAUCCAACAACAAUUAAAUAUCGUCACUUGAAGCCUUGAAGGUGUUAAAUAUGAUUAAUUAACAUCCUAUAUAGAAUCCAAGAAGUAAAAGUCUUAAGCAAACGCUUAGAUGUUCAUACCAUUUUUCUUCUCUCCGGAUAUGAAUCAAUCGCUUAAUCAGUUCACAUGCAAUUUAUAUCUUCAACCACCAUGAUUAACUAUUAGACUCGAAUCUUAAAUAAAUGCAGGACCUGUCAACAUUUUUUUUUCUUUUAAAUAUCACCAAGACUAUAGUUUAGUGGUUUCUAAUUAAUGAACAACCAUUUUCUUUGUUUAGAAUAUCAUCAAGAUUGUAUUUUAAUGGCUUCUAUAAAUUUCCCCAUCCAUAUUAUUAACAGGAUUUGAUGUGUUCAGAAGCAGAUCUAGAACUUCUUAACAUGAAGCAUUUUUAUGAUCUUUGAAUGUCAGAGGUAUUGUGCUAAUUAUUUUAAUAAAUUCAAAGUUGUGGAUUAAAAGAUUAAAGCUAAUUCUAUUUAAGAAUCAAAAUAUUGAAUUACUUUUUUUUUGAAUUAUAUUGAAUUACUUAUAUUGAAUUACUUAUACAAAGAGAAUAUUGAAUUACUUAUACAAAGAGAAUUUAAAUUUAGCAUGUGACAUUUCACACGUGACCCGUUGGUUGUAACACGACCGUGGAUGUGGUUCGCUCUAGUUGAAGGUAAAUAUAGCAAGUAAAACCCAUGAAGAAAAUGACACCAACAAGCUUUAGAUAUUAGAUAUAAUAACUAUUUUUUUCUAUUAAAGCAUACAAGAAAAUAAUAAAUCUGUUCUUUUUGGUAGUACCUAGGUGGCAAUUAAAAAUAAUUUUUAGAUGCCCUUCCAACAGAAAAAAGUAAUUUGUCGUGGAUCUAAAUAUAGUCCAAAAUGUAUAAUUAUAUCACAGCCCAGUCCAUAUAUAGAACAAUUAGUUACGUGAUGAUUUUUUUUUUUUGUCAUCUUGUAUUAUAAAAGCACAAAAGCUAGAGACCAGCAAAUACAAGGAGGCCCAACCAAGGGCAAACAAAAAAACCCAACACGGCUAAAAAGAAAGCCCAAAAAAAACCAGAAAAAAAGGUCCAAAAUGAAGAAGGUGAAUCAACCCGAACACAUCCACGCGUUACAUUGAAAGCGAUGGAAAGACACGUGUCCGAGAAAUGAAACGCCACCGAUCUUCACGACAAGAAAAUCGUCACCGGAGCAACUUCCCGAAGAUCCACCGGACACACCGGAAACAGGAUAUCAGAAAGAAGAGACCGUCGGACAAUUUUAGCAAAAUGAAGAGCCAUAACGCCAGCGGUUUAAUCACAUGAGCUCCAUCAUCGGAGAGCAGCCUUCACAGAAACCCAGACGCUUUGCAGGUCUACGGCUCGGAAAAGAAACUAAUCGUCAUCAAUCGACCAAUCAACCAUCAACUUUCCGGCAUGCAGUUCGGUCACCUUUAAAGAUAAAGGAAAGCACGAAGAUGAGACAACCUCUGACGAGGGGAGAAAGAUCAGACGACAGGAGAUUAGAAGAGAGUCGAUUGCAAUGAGGAACCACAAGAACCGUAGACUGAAACAAAAUCGGGAUGAACCCGAGGAGAAGCCGCCGUCAACACAAAGAAAAGUGCGACGCGGAGACAGGAGCCAGCCGUUCUUCACCGGAGAGGAAGGUGAGAACGCCGGAGACCAAAGCCGACCAUCCAUCAUGACAGAUGCGAUGCCGGAGACCAAAACCGGUCGGAUGAGACCGAAGCCGGUGAGAGGCUUGAACGAUGGCGAAGAAAACCAUCAUAAAAACUGACAACAAAGCUUUCUCAAUCUCCUCUCCGUGAAGGAUACGAGAGAGAGAACAGAGAUGAGAGAGAAAACUUCUUUUUUGUUUUUCUUUCUUCUAAGUGUAAGAACAUGUUUCAAAUUAAUAAAAAUAUAAACAUUACAGAAAAUAACAAAUAAUGUUUCUAGUUGUUUUUAUUUUACUGAUUUGAUGGUGGUAGUUGUUUAAAAAAUUGAGUUUGAUUUUUUUUUGUUUACUUCAUCGUACUUGAUUUUAUGUUUAUAAAAAUGUAAUAUGAUUUCACGUUCAGUUUUAUUCAGCCAUUUUAUAGAUUUUUAAAAUUUAUGUUCAUCCCAAACGAAUUCAAAUUGGCUGAACUAAAAAUAUAACCUUUUCUUUCAGAGCUUCAAUCGAGAGAAUCAAAAUCAUUAUCUGUCGGCAAAAAAAAAUAAAUAAAUUAUGCAACCAAAUUUUGCUCAAACUAUUCUUUAACAUUAUAUAUACAAAUAUGUAAAAUUUGUAGGAAUCCCUUCGGCUCCAUCUUCAUUUUCCAAUUUUUCUUUCCAGAAAAUAAUCAUGUUUUUCUUUUUGAUACAUUAAAUGACAAAACAUCAAAAGAAAGAGUUUAAUGUUUAUUCAUUUUUAUAUUGGAAUUUGAUGAUAUGUAUAGUAAAGUAUUGAGUGGUCUAUUUAAUGUUAUUUUUAAAAUAAUCUUAGUAAAAUCGGUUCAAUUAAAAAAGAGAAAUUUUGUAUGUUUACCACUUUUUUGAUGUAAUUAUUUAUCUAUAAAAAUAUAUUAUUCAUUAAGUGGCUAAAGACUCUUAUACCAUUGUUCACUAUAUAUAAUAAAUAAUUAUUUAAAUAAUUUAAUAAAAAAUAAUUUUUUUUAUGUUUUCGAAUUAUACUUUGAUUUUUUUAAAAAAAUUUAUUUGUUUUUUCAUAAUUUCCUUUUGAAAAUCAAAAAUUAUGUUUGUAACUUUUAAAAAAAUAAUUAUAUUUUUUAUUUAUUUAUUUAAGUAUUUGUUAUAAUCAUAAAUUUUACAUUAUAAAAACUAUACUCUAUUUUUCAACUCUAAAAUCUAAGCGUAGAUUAGUUAAUUUAGGGCUAUAAAUAUCUUUUGCUUUUCAAUAAAAAUGAGUUUAAAAUUGAUCAGUGUAAAGAUAUUAGGAAUCUGAUAUUUUUGGUAAUUGUUUAUAUUUAAUUCAAAUCAAAAAUAAAUAAUAUAAAAAAAUUAGAGUUAUUUUCUACUAAUCCUUCUUCUCUUUCUAUAUCAACAGAUUAGCAGUGCAAAAUUGACUCUGAACGAGAAUCCCAAAUCUAGGGUUCGCUUUCAGGGCGGCGUGCAAUCCAAUGGCGAGUGUGUACAUCCCCGUUCAGAAUUCAGAAGAAGAAGUUAGGGUUGUUCUUGACCAGCUCCCUCGUGACGCCUCCGAUAUCCUCGAUAUCCUCAAAGCCGAGCAAGCUCCUCUCGAUCUCUGGCUCAUCAUCGCGGUUCGUUCUCUCUUCAACUCUACUGGAUUAUAUCGAGCUCUCUUCAGAUUAAAUGGAUUGAUAAAUAACUUCUAAUUUAAUUUUUCUGAUUUUGGCUUGGUGAAGAGAGAGUACUUCAAGCAAGGGAAAAUUGAUCAGUUCCGUCAAAUAUUGGAGGAAGGCUCAAGCUCUGGUACAUGAUAAUACUGCUGCCAUCAUUCAGAUUAUGAUUUUAACUGAAAGAAUACUCAAUUUGUUUGUAUUCUUCUUGAUAAGAUAUUGACGAGUACUAUGCUGAUGUUAAGUACGAGAGGAUAGCAAUCUUGAACGCUCUCGGUGCCUAUUACUGCUACCUUGGUAAAACCGAGACUAAACACAAGGAAAAAGAAGAUUAUUUUAUCUUGGCUACUCAAUACUACAACAAAGCCUCCAGGAUCAAUAUGUGUGAACCUACCACUUGGGUUGGCAAAGGUAAUCACUCUCACUUGUCUUAUUCAUUUUCUCAUGCUCGAUACUAGAUACAGCUAUGUUUAUUCUCCUGUACAAUGCCUUCAAGAUAAUAAGAUCCUGAAAUGUAAUUUGUCGGUUUGCAGGUCAGCUCUUACUGGCUAAGGGUGAAAUAGAUAAUGCAUAUCAGGCAUUUACGAUUGGGUUAGGCACUUCUGAGGACGUUCCUGCUCUUCUGGGUCAGGUAUAUUCUGUAAUGAUUUUCAUUUUAUGCUACGUAACUAAUGAGUUGUAGGUUGUUGGAUUCUAUAUAUGAUUUUUACUUUUUUCUUAGUUUCUUGAAGAACAAUCAUGGUUGUCAUGUUUCUUGGAGCAUAACUUUGGUUGCUUGAGAAAGUCUUGAUUUAGAAUUGUAGGUACAGUUAUGUCUGUUUAAGACAUUAAUGUCUUCUUUGUUUCUUGAAGCACAUAUACAUAUAUGUAUCUAGGAAACGAACAUUAUGAGUUAGCUGGUAUAUCAGAUUCCGGAUCUUACAGUGGAGUAUUAGCUUAUUCUCUACUACUUUGCAUAUCAAUAACUUACCCUGUCACAUAUACAGGCUUCUGUGGAAUUUCACCGUGGACGUUUUUCUGAGUCAUUGCAACUGUACAAGGUAUGCUUUUUUUUAUCAUCAAUUAAUAUAUUUCUGUUUGCCAAUUUUGAAUUUAUAGUUGAUAUGGUCUAUAUUUGGAACAAAUUAAUAAUCUUUUCAUUUAUUCUUUGACUAUCUUAAGAGGGUCUUGCAACUACAUCCCGGCUGUCCUGCUGCUGUGAGACUGGGAAUUGGUCUUUGUCGUUAUAAGUUGGGACAACUAGAUAAAGCACGGCAAGCGUUUGAUCGCGUUUUGCAGGCAAGUAGGACUGGGAUGUUUUAUCUCACUUUCUUAUGACACAGCCUAUUGAAAGCUUCAAUAAAGAGUGCUAUUUACCAUAUUCUAUAUCUACAGCUAGAUCCUGAUAAUGUUGAAGCUCUUGUGGCACUUGGGAUCAUGGAUUUACAAGCAAAUGAUUGUAAGUAUAACUCAGUUUUAAAUCUUACUGAAGAGGUUCUUUUAAAUAAACUUCUUUUUGGCUUUUACUGAUGACAUUUCAUGUGUGUAGCUUUAGGAAUGAGGAAAGGAAUGGAGAAAAUGCAGCAAGCGUUUGAGAUUUAUCCCUACCGUUUGAGAUAUAUCCCUAUUGCGCAUCAGCCCUGAAUUAUUUAGCCAAUCACUUUUUUUUCACCGGCCAGCACUUUCUCGUUGAGCAGCUGACUGAAACGGCACUAGCUGUCUCAACUCAUGGGCCAACGAAGUCGCAUUCUUUUUACAAUUUAGCACGGUCAUAUCAUAGCAAGGUUUGACAUCUUUUUGUAUCAUCUUGCCUACCUUGUCUUGAAGAUAAGUUUAGCCAGGAACUAUGUGGUCUACCCUAGUAUACGUUAGGGUGAAAAAGCUAUGAACUUGCCAGUGUUAAGAAAAUGGAGGAAGAUAAAGAGAAAAGCUUGCUUAACGAUUUUAUUUGACAUAUAGGAGAAUAUAUCAUUUUGUUUCCUUUGUGUAAUCUACCUUUCUGAUGUUCGAUGAUGUUCUUCUUCUAGGGGGACUAUGAAAAGGCUGGGAUGUACUAUAUGGCAGCCAUCAAAGAAACUAACAAUAAGCCACAAGAGUUUGUGUUUCCCUACUUUGGUAAAUUCCUGUUUCCUGCCCUACUGAAUUCCCUUCAUUCUUUGUAUUUUACCAUCUGAGUCGUUAGCAAAGAUCAUACUAUCUGUUUCUAGUUUAACUCAGGUCGAUCAUUUGUUUUUGUUUUUGCUGACGUUGCAGGUUUGGGUCAAGUACAACUAAAGUUAGGGGAGCUCAAAGGAUCAGUAUCCAACUUUGAGAAAGUAUUAGAAGUCUACCCUGACAACUGCGAGACUCUGAAGGUCAUGCUUUUUCUUAUUGGUCUUUCAUCCUUUAUUUUCUCAUUUGAAAUGCUUCAUGUUCAAAUUUCUUUUCCUUAUUUAGGCUCUCGGACACUUAUACACUCAGCUUGGAAAAACUGAUAAGGCCCUUGAGUACAUGCGGAAGGCCACAAAACUUGAUCCACGUGAUGCCCAGGUCAGUUUGGUUUCAUAAUUCAAAAGCCUGAUCUUUCAAAAUGUUGAUACUUGAUCUUGAGAACACCUUUUCGGUUAUUUUAUUCAUGGUUCCUAACUUCUUAAAUCUUAAAUGUUGCUCGAGAUUCAGUAGGGCUAUGGAUCUUUAUCUAUUGCAAUUGUUUCCAAGCUUUGAAGCAUUUUCUUUCUUUACUUUCUACAUAAAUCUUGUAGGCAUUUGUUGGCCUUGGUGAGCUGCUGAUAUCAUCUGACACUGGGGCUGCACUUGACGCCUUCAAAAUGGUUAGUUUUAUUUGAAGUAUGUAUUGAUAAUUGUAGAUCCUGUUCAAGUACAUGAGCAUUGUCUGAAAACAUAAAAAACGCCCAGGCACGGACGCUCAUGAAAAAGGGAGGGCAAGAAGUGCCUAUAGAAGUCCUGAAUGACAUUGGUGCUUUACAUUUUGAGAAAGAAGAAUUUGAGGUUCGUAAUGCCUUUGUUACUGCUCGUUUCUUUUAAAAUUUGGCUAUUGUCUUCAAUACACUUGGUCGUUUCAGUCUGCGCUAGACAAUUUUAAGGAGGCUCUGGGAGAUGGAAUAUGGAUUAGCUUCCUUGACGAAAAAGAAAAAUUAGAGGAAACAGGUGUAUCUGUUCAAGGGUACAAGGAUACUGGAAUUUUCCAUAGGCUGAUUGAAAAUGGUCACUCUGUCGAUGUACCUUGGAACAAAGUCACAACCUUGUUUAACAUGGCUAGAUUACUUGAGCAGUUACACAAAACUGAAACAGCGACUUUUCUGUAUCGGUUGAUACUUUUCAAGGUAUAAUAACUCUUACUCUCUUGUGGUAUUAUUUGUUUCUAUGGUUGUAAGAUAUACUUGCCAUGUCUCGCGUAAUUUUUUUUGAAUGCUUGAUGAUUUUGCUUCUCUUGAUUUCGGUGGACUUACUCUGACUAUCUAUUUCGUGCAGUAUCCUGGCUACAUAGAUGCUUAUUUGAGGCUUGCUGCGACUGCCAAAGCUCAGAACAACCUUCCUCUAGCUAUUGAACUGGUCUUCUACAAUUUUCAACAUUCUAUUCAUUUUUUUAUAUAUUAGCUUGUUUUCUAUUUCUGACCGCGUUUUCUACGUUCCCCUCUUAGGUGAAUGAAGCUCUGAAGGUGGACGAUAAAAAUCCAAAUGCUUUGUCUCUGCUUGGUGAAUUGGAGCUUAAAAAUGAUGACUGGGUUAAGGCAAAAGAAACCCUUCGAGCUGCUAAUGAUGCGACUGAUGGGAAGGAUUCAUACGCUAUUCUUUCUCUGGUAUAUUAUUCUAUUUCCAUUUAGUGUGGUACGGCCUUAGAUGGUUUCUGGUUGUUCCCACUUAUUCUACAAGAUCUUUUGCUGGGCGUAAAAUUUCUUCUUGCAAUGGUGCAGGGAAACUGGAACUACUUUGCAGCAAUGCGCAAUGAGAAAAGAAAUCCAAAAUUAGAAGCUACACAUCUGGAGAAGGCCAAGGAACUUUAUACUAAAGUAUAAUUUUCUUCGCUUCUCUCUUCUCGUUAUUACCAAUUUGGAAAUAAAUCCUGAUUGUGUUUUGGUGGAGGGUGGUGGACGUUUCAAUAAUAUUUUUAUAGGGCGUCAAUGAUAAUAGUUUUACUCAUUGUUGGUCGUUGGGAUUAACAGGUCCUGACUCAACAUAGUUCCAACAUGUACGCUGCCAACGGUUCUGGCAUUAUACUAGCAGAGAAAGGACAAUUCGAUAUCGCCAAGGAUAUUUUUACUCAGGUCAGCUAGAUCAUUUACCAUUCAUGCUUAGGCUAGUUAGAUUCUUCAAGUCACUGAAACUUCGACAAUAUUUUAGGUUCAAGAAGCUGCAAGCGGAAGUGUGUUUCUUCAGAUGCCUGAUGUAUGGGUGAAUCUGGCUCAUGUGUACUUCGCUCAAGGGAAUUUUGCCUUAGCCGUGAAAAUGGUUUGUCAUUUCUAUAUAGUAUCGUCUCCUUUUGGUUUAAUUUCAACGUUUUGCUGAUGUCUUCUAUUCCAUUUCAGUAUCAAAACUGCUUGCGGAAGUUCUUUUACAACACAGACUCUCAAAUUCUUCUUUACUUGGCCCGUACCCACUACGAGGCUGAGCAUUGGCAAGAGUGCAAAAAGACACUGUUAAGGGCCAUUCACUUGACUCCUUCGAAUUACACAUUCAGAUUUGAUUUGGGUGCUGUUAUGCAGAAAUCAUCAUCUUCCACACUUCAAAAGAAGAAGAGAACAGCUGAUGAGGUUGUCAUACUAAAAAUAAUCUCUUGUACUAUUUUCCCUUGUGUUUCUUAUGCUUUGACGAUCAACAGAUUUCAGCAUGCAUCGUUUGGGAAUAGAUAGGACUACGAGCUUGUUUAUGUAGAACUUGGGAAGAUAAACAGAUUUUAGAAUGCUUCUACAAUGUGUAUAGUAAUGGCUAAGAUCUGAAAUCCUAGUUUGAGUUACACUAAUAAUUCGUGGAAUAGGGAAUAAUUGACUUUUUAACUGACAAGUGAAUCUGCUUGAUUGACUAUGCAGGUGCGCUCAACAGUGACAGAAGCAGAGAACGCUGUUCGCGUGUUCACUCAGUUGUCUGCUGCUUCAGACCUACAGGUUCAUGGGUUUGAUAGUAAGAAAAUACAAACCCAUGUUCAGUAUUGCACACACCUUUUAGAAGGAGCGAAAGUUCACCGUGAAGCUGCUGAGCGCGAGGAGCUACAGAACCGGCAGAGACUAGAAGUUGCUCGUCAGGCUGCCUUGGCAGAAGAAGCACGCCGUAAAGCUGAAGAGCAUAGGAAAUAUCAGGUAACUGCAGACUUGCAAGUUAGCUAUAUUGAAGAUAUUUUCAAGGCUGUGAUAUGCAUUGAUGGAUUCUCUCUCUUUGACAGUUGGAGAAAAGAAAACAGGAAGACGAACUGAGACGACUCAAGCAAGAAGAAGAAAAAAUUCAACGCAUAAAGGUGUGUGGUCCCCUGCUUUUGAUUACAAUGCAGAUGUGUAGUCUCGAGAAGAAGAAAAACAUGAUGUUUGAUACUUUGAACUUGGCUUACUUCUUUAGACGUUUAGGAUAUUCUGAUUUUGUUCUUUAAUUUUGAAUGUUUAAGGAACAAUGGAAGAGCAACACACAUGGAUCUAAGCGUAAGGAUAGAGCUGAAGAUGAUGAUGGGGAAGGUAGGCCGAGCGAGCGGAAAAGAAAGAAAGGUGGGAAGAGAAGAAAGAAGGACAAAAGCUCAAGGGCUCGACAUUAUGAGGAUGAUGAUGAAGAAGCACCUACUAUGGAUGAUCAUAAUGAAGUGGAAGAUGAAGACGCCAACACCAAUUAUAAUAGGGAAGAGGAGAAUCAAGAAGCUGAGGAGCCUGUGGAUGAUGAUGAUGCUCAUGAUCUUCUUGCUGCUGCUGGGCUUGAAGAUCCUGAUGCUGAUGAUGAUGAUGGGGUAAUGACAAUGCCAGUUCUUUUUUUCGGUUGGAAUCAAAGACAAUGUUUUGACGUCGGUUUUGCUUGGGUGCAGGUACCUGCUUCAGUUGCAAGACGAAGAAGGGCACUUUCGUCAUCAGAUGAAGAAGGUGAAUUGAUGGAGAGUAAGCCAAAUUCAAGCCCGCAGAAAGAGAAUUCUCCAGGAAGGCAAGAAGAGAGCAAUGUGGAAGAAGAAGAAGAAGAUGCUAACUUGAACGAUGAGGAGUAGACCAGUUGAGAUCUUUCAUACUUAACAGAUCUCUGUGUUUGUAACUUUAGUGAUAAAGAUUCCAUUGGUUGUCUUUAUUCAAUUUUCCUAGGAGUCAUAAGUGCGAGGACAAAUAGCAUUCACAUGCCAAGGAUCAGUUUUAAAUAUUGGGUUAUUUGGGUUGAGCCUUGUUUAUUAUUAUUGUGAUUGUUAAAUGGAAAGUUACUUCUUUUUUUGUUUCGACACCAGUUUAGGGAGACAAAAUAUACGUAAGAAAGUUAUUCGUUUUAUUACAAUUAAAAAUCUGAAUAUCGUAAAUGUUAAAAAUAAACUGAAAUAUGAGAAAUUUUACAGACACUACGAGCAUAAUAUAUUGGUAUUAUGAGAUUUUUAAGCCGGUUAGGCAUGAGCAAAUUCUGAAUAAAGAUAAAAAUAUCUUGAAAACAAACGAAUUUUUUUAAAAUGUCAUGAUAGACCCAAGAUUUACAUAAGCGAUCUAUUACUAUAAAUACAAGGUAAAUGAAAAGAGUAUAGAAUCGAGAGGUCAGUCUACGAAGCUAUAAAAACAAGUCGAAGAUCUUCAGAAAAUGGAACACAAGAAUGUACAGCAGCAACCUAGCUCUUUAGCGAACUAAGCGUCUAGCGAUUUCUCUUUGAUUUUGCUUCUUAGACUUAACUUUUCAGCAUACGGCGAAAAAAAGUCAAAUGAAAAAGAAAGGAAUAAAACACACCUCACGCGGACCAAACUAAACAAAUCAGCACGUGGAAAGAGACGGUCUUACACCAAAAAAAAAAAAAGAGUGGUCGGUCCAAAGAUGCCGAGAGAGCUUUCCUCCUCCGCGCACCUUUUUGUGUAUAUAAAAAACAAUAACCAAUCGCAAGUCCACAACACCCAACUUUCACUCUUUCAAUUUCUAAAUUCUAAAAAGGUAAAGUCCUCACAGACUUGGUUACUCUUUUUUUGUGUGUAGACGGACACUGUUUUGUUCUUCUAGUAAAUGAAGUUUUAGCUAACCAAUCAAUGCUUUGACAGUUGAUUUCUCAGAUCUGAGACUUUUCUUUGCUUGAUCGAUCGGAGGAGGAGGUAUGGCGGCGCAGGGAAACUCCACGGACACACUUUUCUCUCCUUACAAGAUGGGAAGAUUCGAUCUCUCUCACAGGUGAUUCGAUUUUAGCUUGAUUGAUUGAUUGAUUGAUUUGAUGAAUUAUAGUGAAUCUCAUACCGCGUUUGUGUGUUUCAGAGUGGUUCUGGCGCCGAUGACACGUUGCAGGGCGUUGAACGGCGUUCCGAACGCGGCGUUGGCGGAGUAUUACGCUCAACGCACCACUCCCGGCGGUUUUCUCAUCUCCGAAGGCACCAUGAUCUCUCCCGGAUCCGCAGGGUAAUUUCUUUUCCCCGUCACGUCAACGAUGAAAUUGCUGUUAACUGUUCUGUUAAAAAUAUAUUAAUGGCUGUUCUGUUUAUUAUUCUCAAAAGGGUAAUAAACUAAUAACUAAGAAAUACUAUUAUUUUAAGGUUUUGUAAAGAUGUUAUGAUAGGUUGUUUUUAUUUGUGUCGGUAAAAAUAUGAUAGGUUGUUUAUUUUAACAUUUAAAUAACAAUCAGGUUUUUAUUUCUCCAGAUCAUAGUGGUUUUUGUUAUAAAAAAGUAAAAAACUAAGAAAUAUUAUUUUAUUAAAAAUGUUAUGAUAGGUUGUUUUUAUUUGCGUGGGCAAAAAUAUGAUAGGUUGUUUAUUAUGACAUUUAAAAAACAAUCAGAUUUUAUUUCUCCAGCCAAUAGUAGUUUUUCUUACAAAAUAUCUCUAUAACCCAACUUUUAUAAUAUUUGUUAUAGUUAAAAUGUAAAAUCAACUAAUUCUUAUUGCUUUGUGAGAGCCUUUGCUAUACAAAAAUAUAUCUAAAAGCUUUUUACAUUGUUAAAAUAUUCAGAUAUGAUCAAAGGCAAAGAUAAACCAUUAACAAAACGUGUAUGAAUUGAAAAUGUUAACUAUUUUUUUUGAUAAACUAUUUUUUUUUUAAAUGUUAACUAUUCGCCACCAAAAUAAUUUAUUAUGACGAAAAAAAAUAAAUGACUUGCUUUAACGUAGGUAACGGACUUACCAAUAGUUAAGUGCCAAGAUAAGAAUGGAGAUGUGUGUUUGUUUUUAAAUCUCAGCACACAUUCCGACAAAAAAAGGUUGAGAAUUACAUAUUUGAGAACACUAAAAUUCGUUACCUACGUUAUUAGCAUGUCGCAAUAUACAAGACUUGUAGUUUCAAAAAGAUAAAAAAAAAAAAUAUAUAUAUAUAUAUAUAUAUAUAUAUACAAGACUUGUAUAAUAAUGUAGGUUACUUGGCUGCAAAUAGUCCAAUUAAUUUGAAAUUAUUUUUCAGGUUUCCACAUGUACCAGGAAUCUAUUCAGAGGAACAAGUAGAGGCAUGGAAACCCGUUGUGGAAGCAGUUCACUCCAAAGGAGGUCUCAUCUUCUGUCAACUAUGGCAUGUUGGACGAGCUUCUCAUCCGUGUAUGUCUUUUAUUUACUAAAAUGUUUCUGAAAAAACAUUAUAAAAAUAAUUUAACAUUUUCAGUUUGAUUUUGAACAGUGUACCAACCUAAUGGUGGAUCGCCAAUAUCGUCAACGGACAAAGCCAUCUCAGAAAGAUGGCGAGUUCUGUUGCCUGAUGGAUCACACGCGAAAUACCCUAAACCUCGACCUCUACACGCUUCCGAGAUACCUCGAGUGGUGGAAGAUUAUUGCAACUCGGCUAUUAAUGCAAUCCGAGCUGGUUUUGAUGGGAUUGAGAUCCAUGGAGCGCAUGGUUACCUCAUUGAUCAGUUUAUGAAAAAUGGGAUCAAUGACCGUACCGACCAAUAUGGAGGCUCCAUUCAAAACCGUUGCAGAUUCUUACUUCAGGUACCAAUUCUUUUACACUAUAUUUUAAACUUUAGAUGUUUAAGAGUUAAAAUAUUUUCUUUCAAAAGAGUAAAGAUAUAUUUUGUUUUAUACAAACAGAGUUUCUUCAAACUUUUGCAUUUAAAAUUAACAUUUUCUGUGAUAUAAAAUGAUUUAAAAUUGUUUUAUUUGGAAAAAAAUGAGUGUAAAAUGUAAAGGCAUAUACUAUUUUACCUUUGUUCACUAUAUUUGCUAUUAUAUAUGUAAACAUCGAAUUUGAAAAGAAAGUUUAUUUGUUUUAAAAUAAAAUAUCUUUUAUUUUAUGAAUUAUUUCAAUACAACGUCAGUAAAACAGAAUUCAUCUGAAGUUUGCGUUUAGAGUUAAAAACUUGUUCACAUUAGCUAUGUCAUUUUAAAAAAAAUAUUGGGUUGAUUGCAGGUAGUGAAAGGUGUGGUUUCAGCCAUAGGAGCUAGUAAAGUUGGCGUCAGGAUAUCUCCAGCAAUAGACCAUCUCGAUGCAACUGAUUCUGACCCACUCUCCCUCGGGCUAGCCGUGGUUGACUUGCUCAACAAGUUACAGGACGAUACUGGCUCCAAGCUCGCUUACCUUCACGUAACACAGCCUCGGUACCACGCUUAUGGGCAAACAGAAUCUGGAAGGCAAGGCAGUGAUGAGGAAGAAGCUAAGUUAAUGAAGAGCUUGCGUACGGCUUACAAUGGGACAUUUAUGUCUAGUGGAGGUUUCAACAAGGAACUUGGUAUGCAAGCCAUUCAGCAAGGGGAUGCUGAUUUGGUCUCCUUUGGCAGGCUGUUUAUUGCAAACCCUGACUUGGUUUCGCGGUUUAAGGUUGGUGCGAAGUUGAAUAAAUAUAAUCGGAAGACGUUUUACACUCAAGACCCCGUUGUUGGCUACACAGAUUAUUCCUUCUUGGCUCCAGCUUCUCGCCUCUGAGUUUGAGAAACGAGGAGAAGAUUUAUAGAUAUCUACAUCAAUUCAUUGAUGUUAUUUUGUUUAUUGAUGUUAUAGUAAACCAAUAAAUUCUCCGUAAAAUGACAAUGGUAAUCAUAUAGUAUAUAUAUCCUGUGUGGCCUGCUUGUUCGUGUUUCAUUGAAUCGUUAGUGGUUGCCUUUUUGUUUUGCUUUGAGAGCAACAUGUAUUAGCUAAAGUCUUGAACCAGUGGUCUUAGUCAUGUUUCCCCACCGCAUAUUCGCUCUCACUCCGUCAGUUUAGGAGUCUUACUUUUGGCACAGAGUUCUUGUGUCUCCGGUAUCCUGUCGCUUCAUGUUUGUCUUUGAUGGCCUCGGUUUAAGCGGUAAAAACCGACGAGGCUUUGUUCCUUUAGAAUGGUUCCAGUUUGAGUAAGUGGUUCUUCUCAUCUCCAGGAGGUUUAUUCUGUCAAGCUGCGGGUUGGUUUGGGUUUGGAGGGAUUAACCCUUGGUGUGAAAUCUUUGUUAUGGUCUUGAUGCUUGCUUCUGGAUUCGUUGGCUUUCUCAGAUAGCGCCUUUAAGGCUCUUGGCUUCCCUAACAGUUAUGUUGAUGCUACUUUGUGGAAGUGUGAUUCUGGUGAAGGAUUUGUGUCUUUAAGGUUUAAGGUUUAGUUUGUGUUGUAAUGUCUCCGAGAUGGUCGGCUUGUGGCUCCAGUUUAUAUCCGGCCUAGUUUCUCUUUAAGCUCUUUGUAGUCUAGCUUGGUGAUACAGUUCGUCCUAGUAUAGGAUGUGAUGAUUGUGUAUUGAACUCUUGUUCUUUCUUUGUUUAAUCCCAAAGAAAUGAGUAUUGAAAAUGAUUUUCUCCCAUGGAUAAGAUAUCAACAUUUGAUCCGGUUAGGCAGGCAAGUAUUAGAACAGAAUGAAAACAACUUGAACAAAGCCGUCUAUGAAACCAUAAACAUGUAAAGUGGUUCAAUUACAAAGUAGAAACUUGCAAACUUCAAUCAUUAGAGAAAUAGUGCAGCAGUUAUUACAUAUCAGCUAAAGUGACAAACUAGAAACAUAACAUGUUCUCUUGAAAGGGAAAGAAAAUACAAAGCCGAUGGGGAUCAUAUGCUCUAUUCGUCGAUCAAAGACCCUACUUGUUGAGGUCUUUGAAAACGGGGCUGUCCAGAGCAACACCCAUUGAAUUCAAGCCAUUGUCCACAUAGAUGGUUGCACCAGUUAUAGCAGAGGCCAAUGGAGAUACCAAGAAGGCCGCUGCAUUCCCAACUUCAUCUGCAUCAUCAUAUUCCUCUUUUGUUUAAUAAAAUUUCCAAAGAAAACUGAAAGCCAACAAGAGAAUGCUUGUAUAGAAGGAAAAUGAAUGAACCUGCGGUCAGUGUUUUCUGAAUAGGCGCGUUAUUGUAUGAAUACUCAAUCAUUGUGUCUAUGAACCCAAUUGCUUUUGCUGCUCGGCUUCCCAAAGGACCUGCAGAGAUAGUGUUGACCCUAAUGUUUUGUUUCCUUCCAGCUUCAAAUGCAAGCACACGUGUAUCACUCUCUAGUGCGGCCUUGGCAGAACUCAUACCUCCACCAUACCUAACAACAUAAAUUAAAAGAGACAUUUGUAAUCAUCUAUUGAGAAACAAAACAAUGUUGUGACGCUAUAGUAUAAACUCUUACCCGGGAAUGAUCCUUUCAGAGGCAAUGUAAGUAAGAGAGAUAGAAGCACCUCCUAAAUCAUAUCAUAGAGAAACAAAUAAAAUUAAAAAAAAAAACAAAUAAUUAUAAAAGAAGAAGAGGAGGCAUACAAAGUUUAGUUACAUGCCUGGGUUCAUAAUUGGGAGAAAAUGGCUGAGGAGGGAAACAAAGGAGUAGCUGGAAGCAGAGAUAGCAGCAAGAUAGCCUUUCCUCGAUGUCUCCAGUAGAGGUUUGCUAACCUAAAAAAUAUCAGAAGAUCUCCCAUUAGGCAAAACAGAAUAAAGUUCUUGCAAAACAGUUUCAGAUAGAGUUCUUGCCUCUGGUCCAUUUGCAAGUGAGUGGACAAGAAUGUCAAUGCUUCGAAAAUCUUGUCUCACACAUUCUGCAGCUUCCUGUACAGUCCAGUGUGAUGAUCCAGCAUAUCGCUUAUUCGCUUUCACCUGGAAAAAUAAAAUGUAUCAUAACUAAUUUGGAUAUUAAGGGUUUUAAUAUGAUAGUGAAAGAUGUAUUCUCUCACGUACAUCUUCAGGGACAUCAUCAGGAGUGUCAAAGACAGCAUCCAAAGGAUAAACCUUUUUAAUCUCCAUCAAUGAUCCGUCUGGCAACCUGAAUUUGAGAUAUUAGAUGAUGUGGAAAAACAAAAGAAACAAAGAGUUGAUCAGUUUUUUUGUAAGUCCUUACACGCGUGACUGGUCGAAUUUUCCACGUCUCAAGCUCGUCUCAAAAAUGUUAAGCGCCUAGUAGACCACUCACAGGUCAGAACAUGAAGAAACUAAAAGUAGUAAUACAAAAAAAAAGGAAACUUACAGGAACCCAAGUGCCAACCAAAAUUUCAGCACCAGCAGCAGCAAGAGAUUUGGCUAUGGCCCAACCAUAUCCAUUAUCAUCAGCGAUACCAGCAAUGAAAGCCCUUUUCCCUAGAAACCAUUUAACGCAGUUGAUUUAAUCCAAACAGCUCACUGUCUUGUAAAUAGCAAUCAAUCUUAGUAAUGAUGAUUAAGAUAUGACUACAUAGUAACCUCUCAAAUCAAUGGGAAGUCCAGAAGAAGCCUUGCUUUCGCUGGAUUCAGACAUGGCCUUUGUCGAAAAGGAAAAACUCUUUUUAGAAGCUGGAAGAGCACUGUUGUUUCUCAAACAUCCCAGGUUCGAUAGAUGGCGAGUGGAAGUGAGCUUAUCCCAUGAUGCGUUCCCGUGAUUGACACCGACAAUCCCUGCUUUAACAACUUUGCUAGAGGCAGCAGAAAUGCUUGGCCUUGUUGUAGCCAUUUGCAAGCUCGAUGCUGCUGAUGUUGCCGCCAUCCUCGCAAUAUUUCAAAUAUUUUCUGUGCAAAAAAAAUGUCAGAACAUGUAAAGAAGACCAAUGAGCUUUCUUUCUAACAAUCCAAGUUAUAAUAAUCUGCACAAAAUGCAGAUCGACACAGACAUUGGAGAAAUAGAAUUGAAAAUGUCCUGCAUUUAUAAAAAUGAUUUGAUUUAUAAUACGCAAUCCAAGUUCACAUUGACAUAACAAAGAAAACAAAUGGCACAAGUUCUGGAUUUUUCGCAGCUUAACGUCAGAGAAAACUCAAUUGACUGAGAUAAUUAAAAACCCAAAACACAUCUGCAUUUUUCCAUCAAACAAACAGAGAACCAAAGAGAGAGAGGGGGAGAGAUAGAUACCUGAUAGAGCCUAGAGAGAGAAGAGAGAAGAGUAGGUUUGCUUUGGUGUGAAGUGGGGUAUGUAAGGGGAGCGGGUUCGAUGAGAUCGAGGUGUCUGUUGUGUCUGGCGAAGUUAAGAGGUUGAUUGUAUGUGGUUUUUGUUUUAGUUUUUGGUUUUUGUAAACAAAAACCAUUUUUCAUCCAAUUAAUUUUUAGUUUUUAGUUUUGUUUUUGUAGAAAUCAUUUGAUUUGCCAAUCAAGAUUUUUAAUAAAUAGAUUUCUUAAAAUUUAGGGAAACUAGUUUUUGAAAAAUUUAACCAAUUUGUGAAGAAAAACCAAAAACCAACUUUUGUGAGCUUUUAAAAGGAAAAACGAAUUUUGAUUUUUUUUGGAUAGAAACUACAAUAUUUAAUUAAUUAAUAAUUAAUAAAUAACAUUUUUAUAAAGAUAAAUAAUCAUACAAUUUUUGGUACAUUAGCUAUAAUUUAAACAAUAAUGUGAUAUAACUUAUUUGUGUUUAAUAUCUGUAAAAUAAAUUUAUAUAGUUUAUAAAUAAUAUUAAUUAAUUUUAAAACUUAGUUAUUAAUUUCUCUAUAUAAAAUAAUAGAAUAAUUUUAAUAAUUACUAGUCACAUUAAAAAUAACUAAAAUUAUAAAAACAUAAUAUGUUUUAGUAAUACAAUAUAUUGUAUUAGUCAUGAAAAAUAAAAAUAGCCAUUCAAUUUUAAGAAAAUAUAAAUAAUUUAUAUGAGAAAUUUUAUAAUUAGUUUCAAAAUUUUAAGUAUUUUUAUUUUUAUAUAAUUUAUAAUAUUUAAAAAAAAUAUUGCUAUAUAAGUUUAUAAAAUUAAAAAUAAUUUAUAUAAGAAAAAUUUCUAAGUAGUUUCAAACUUUUAAAUAUUUUUAUUUUUUUGCAAUAUAUAAAUUUUAUGAUAAAUAUUUUAUUAUAAUAUAAUUUUUAAUAAAACUAUAAUAAUUAAAAUAUGUUAUUAUAUUUUAAUUUAAAAUAAUUAUCAUAAUAUUUUGACAAUUUUAAUUGUAAAUAUAAAUAUUUAUUUCUAUUUUGUUGUAUUAUUUCAAAGUAACUCAUUACUUAAUUUUUGCAAAAAUAAAAAAAAUACUGCAAAACCAAAAACCAAAAUCUAAAUCUAAAAACUAAAAACUAAAAACCAAAAACUGAAAACCUAAAACCAAAAUCUAAAAACCAAAAACUAAAAUCUAAAAACCAAAAACUAAAACUAAAAACUACUGAAACAAUCAUCACCUAAGUGAGAAGUUUUUUGUCCCAACUAGACAAACCGGAUCGGUUUCGUCACAAACCGGAUAUUCAAGGUUUAACCGUAACCUCUUUCGGAUCUUUUAUUUUUCGGGACUAUUACACAAUUUUUUUUAUUUAGGCCUUAUUGUUUGACUAAUUUUCUGUUUUUGGUUUUUUCAGAUAUUGGUUUUAAAAUUUCAAACUAUUAUUUUAUGUUUUGUUUUUGUUUUUGUUUAAUUUUUAUUUUAAAUUUUGAGUUUUUUAUUUUUUGGUUUUUAUACUAAAGUAUAAAAAAUUUUAGAUUUGAUUUUGUUGUAAAAUCAUACCAAGUUUGAGGUGAUUCGUAUUAAAAUGAGAAAUUCAUGUUAUUCAAACGUAAAUUUUAAAAUUGAUUUCAGUGUUAUUGAAUUUAUCAUUUCAUAAAAUAUUUUGGAAUCUAUUAUUAUUAAACAAAAUUUGAGUUGUAGAUUUAAUAACACUUUAAGUGUCUUUAGAGUAUUUGAGAGGUGAUUUUCUCCCAUGGAUAAUAUAUCAACAUUUGAUCCGGUUAGGCAAGUUUUAGAACAGAAUGAAAAUAACUUGAACAAAGCCGUCUAAGAAACCAUAAAACAUGUGAAGUGGUUGAAUUAAAAAGUAGAAACGUGCAAACUUCAAUCAUCAGAGAAAUAAUGCAGCAGUUAUUACACAUUCGCUAAAGUGACAAACUAGAAACAUAACAUGUUCUCUUGAAAGGGAAAGAAAAUACAAAGCCGAUGGGGAUCAUAUGCUCUAUUCGUCGAUCAAAGACCCUACUUGUUGAGGUCUUUGAAAACGGGGCUGUCCAGAGCAACACCCAUUGAAUUCAAGCCAUUGUCCACAUAGAUGGUUGCACCAGUUAUGGCAGAGGCCAAUGGAGAUACCAAGAAGGCCGCUGCAUUCCCAACUUCAUCUGC